rnacentral:lncRNA from 1 species
AGCAAGCGCAUUAAAUCACGGAAUUAAAUCCAACUGCCAACCAAUUCCUCCCCAUCUCUCAUGCAUGCCCCUUACUGAGUGGUGCCCAGACCCACCACUUUCUCUAUAUAAACACAUCCCUCGUUGAAACCUUUUCCAUCAUCACUCUCCAGACCUUCACUUUCUCUUCUCUCCUAGCCUUACUAAUUUUCUCAGACACUGAGUAGUCAUCAUGGGUAGCUCCGGAGCUGUGAAGCUAGCUUGUGUGAUGGUGAUAUGCAUGGUGGUGGCGGCACCGGCGGCGGUGGAAGCAACCAUAACAUGUGGUCAGGUGGCAUCUGCCGUGGGCCCGUGCGCUAGCUACUUGCAGAAAGGUGGUUCAGUGCCAGCUGGGUGCUGCAGUGGGAUUAAGAGCCUCAACAGCGCGGCUAAGACCACAGUUGAUCGCCAGGCCGCUUGUAAGUGCUUGAAAACCUUUUCUGGUUCCAUCCCUGGCAUCAAUUUCGGUCUUGCAAGUGGGCUUCCGGGCAAGUGUGGUGUCAGCGUUCCUUACAAGAUCAGCCCCUCCACUGACUGCUCCAAGUAUGCUCUAUUAAUCUCUCACUACUCAUGAUAUAUUUAUAUAGAAUUCAGCUUGAUUAACCAAUAAGAUUUCUGCGACUGAAUUUUUUUUUUUUGUGAAUGUGUUCAGGGUGACUUGAAGCAAAAGGUGGAGUAGGAUGAGCUAUGGUAGCAACUAGCAUAAGAAUAAAGAAGUGGAGGGUAGAGGCUCCACUUGGACCACUCAGCCUUUAGUAUUAGUAGUACUAGUACUGGCGUCAUAUUCCUCUCUGUGGUUGUAUGACAUCUACUGGAGCGGUUGCAUACUUGCAUGUAAUAAAUAUCCCUGCUGGUUGCUGGACCCUAUCAUAUUAUAUAACUUUUACCCUCUCUCUCUCUCUCUCUCUCUCUCUCUCUAGUGUCCAGGAAAGAGAAAAACACAGAAAAAAGAAAAGGAAACAAACAGGUCUCUGGAAUCAAAUUUAAGAUAACUAGAAAAAUAUGACCAUGAAACAAUAGGAAAGAAGGAUAAGAAAAAAAUAUUUUUCACAAAGUGGAUGUAUAGGCUUCUUUUAAUUAUAUAAAUACCUUUUAAAUCAUAAAAAUUCAUUAGACUCACCAUGGACAGUAUGCAUUAUGUGCAUGCUAUCAAAUAAUAUUGAAAAUGACUGAUGUCCAUGUGAGCUGACUAGCUUUAAUUAGUCAUAAUUAUAAUCUCAAAUCAAAGUAAAAAAAAAUUUAAUAUUUUAGAAGGGGCAUUGCACAAAUUAUGUUAAAUAUAAAAUGAUUUUCUAAACAAGCUUGAUUCUAGCCUUUAGAAGGUAACUCCCUCAUAAUUCAGCUUGGUGUGGUAAUUCCAAAGGGGGCUUUUACCAUGAGCCCAAUGUCGUGGCGAAGGUUAUACCUUAGAAAGUCAGUGAAGCUAAGGUUUCGUAUGUGUUAUAUCCUUUCGAUCGAGCGACAACUUCUAAGGAUCAUUCCCCUCCCCGGUGCUAGAAGGUCGGAAGGAGAAGUGUUAUAAGCUUUGAAUGGAAGCCCCGGUAAACGGCGGCAGUAACUCUACCUGUCCUAAGGUAGCGAAAUUCCUAGUAACUAGUUGUUUAUAUCGAACUCGAAAAUAUAACUUGACUAUUCGGGACAACUAGAGGAACAUUAUUGCCGGCACUAUCAAAGGCCGCUAUUCCAGACCAAAAGUAUGGAAUAGAGUAAGGCCUUUAUUAGAAAAGAUGCAUAAAAACAACUUAAAAAUACUUUUAAUUUAAGAUGGGGUUUAUUUUUUAAUUGAAUAGAAAAAAUCAAAAUAUUUAAUUUUUUCUAUUCAGUUAAAAAUAACAUAUUGAUAUCAAUCAAUAUAAAAAUAAAUUCAAUUUAGUUAUUGUUAAUAUCAACAUAUUACUUUUAACUUAAUAAAAAUAAUCAAAUAUUUCGAUUUUUUAUAUUCAACUAAAAAACAAACAUUACCUAAUACAAAUAUUGAAAUUAUGUAAUUAGAGACUAAGGAGACGAAAUUAAAAAGUGGCAAUACUUUUGUUAAUAAGUUUAUUUUAGUUAUAUUGAUUUAUAUUAUUACUUUUUUAAUAUAAAAAAAUCAAAUAUUUAAUAUAAAAAAAUCAAAUAUUUUAGUUUUUUUUUUAUUCAACCAAAAAACAAACACCUCAAAAUUGAAAUCAUAUAGUUAGAAACUAAAGACAUGAAGUUAGAAAGUGAUAAUUCUCUUAUCAACAAAUUACUUUAGUUAUAUUGAUAGAUAUUAGUAUAUUACUUUUAACUUAUCGGAAGAAAUAAAAUAUUUUAGUUUUUUCCAUCAUUUCAAAAAACAAACCCCAUGUAAGACAAGUAUCAAAAUCAUGUAGUUAGAGACUUGGGACGUGGGGUUAGAAAGUGACCAUACUCCUCUGUUAAGUUUGAAAAUAUGCAUUUGAAAAGAAUUUUGAAAAGAAAAAAAAAAAAAGUUAUGAAAGCAAGGUUAUCAGAAGGAUGCCUUGUUAAUUUUACUGUAAAUUCAGUCCUCGUAUUCAUCGGAGAUAAAAGCCUUUUUAGGUUAUAAUUUUACCUCCAAAUACAUUAAUAUUUGCUACCUCGUAGUGUGAUUGGGGGUCAACCAAAGAAUAGGAAUCAUGGGGAAUUUUGUGCCACACAUUUAUGUACGAAACUAAUAAAUGUAGCUCCCAAUUCGGGUGUAUACAUUUAUCAUUUCCAAGGUCUAGAUUAGCAUGCCUACCAAACAGUCUUUUCUUCAUUUUUGUGCAUUUUUCAAGGAAAUUGAUUUUUAUAUAAAAAUAAACAAGGUUGUGAAAUGAAAGUUCUUUUUGUAUAGCUUCUUGUGUUUAAUUUUAAGGGGAAGUUACACCUAAAACUAAUAUCAUAAUUUUUAAAGAAUAAUAUUGAUAUUAUAUAGUUUUAUUAAAUGUAAACCUUUUAACAUAAAUUAAAAUAAAGGUAAUGUGAAAAGUAAUAUUUUCUUAAUUUUCAUAUUUAAUUUUUUAAAAAUUAUAAAUUCCUUUAACAAAAUAAACCCAAUAAGUAUAAAAGUUCUUAUUGAGUUUAAAAAAAUAACUUAAAAAAGAUCAUCAAUUAAAAUUUCAUGUUUUGAUUCUUUUCAAUAGACAAGUUGAGACAUGUAAAAUUGAAUGCAUUAGCACGCUCUCAGCAAGUAAAGUAACAGAAUUUUCAUUAACUUCCUACUAUUUUUGAAACAAAUCUAAAUACCAUUUACUUCAAACAAAAACCAAGUUAAAAAUUAUCUAACAAUUUCAAAGAUUACACAAACAAAUUUUAGCUCAAAUUAUCUACUAAUCCACUUAUCAAAACAAAGUUAUUUUCUUAGUCAAGAUAAAUAUGGAAAAAUUAACUAAUAAAGAAAUAGAAAGAAUAAAGCAAUGACACCAAGAUUUAACAUAGAAGAUCUUUAAAGAAAUUAAAAACCAUGGAUCUAUAAAUGAUAAAAAAAACAUCCACUAUAAAUAGUAACAACUGUUAUAAGAUUUUACCUAACUCAAGUCCGUCAAUCCUUCUUGAAUCACUUGACUGAUACUUUUCCACUUCAUUUAUCUGUUUUUUUUUCCUUUCAAAACAUACUUAAAGUCCACAUUAAAUUUAAUCUUGACCUCUUCUUAAGUUCACACAAGACGAAAAUAGGAUUUACUUCAACCCAAUAACCCUAAAGAGAGAAUGGAUGAAAGAACCAAAAGAAUUAGUCCAUACUUUAAAAAAACCUCAAUCAAAAAUUGUUGUAAACUUCAAAAUGGAUAGGAGUUUCUUGGGAAACAAACACACUCAUACUCAGAAUGGGAGAGGAGUACAAUGGUUGUGUGUGACAACUAUUGGAGCCUCAACCCUAAAAUGAAGGUUUUGGAUUUAAAUAGGAAGGAAAACCUUAAUCUAAUGACUAAAAAAUAAUACAACAGUAGAUAGAUUGAUCCUGGAUCAAUCUUGGAACAAAGCACAAAAAUACGUAGUUAAAAAAAAACACAAAAGCUACCCAAGUCUCCUAAAACUUCUUUAAAGGAUUUUCACUAUUUUGAAAAUCCCGAUUGAUUUAAUUUUGCCCCUCCACUACCUUAACUACAUACCUUAGUCUCUAAAUACCUUCAACGCCUCAAAGUUCUUUAUUAGACAAAUAAUCGGAGGAAGGAUUUGAUAGACCCAAAUUAAGAGACCGCUCGUGAGCUCUUAGUUGCCCGAAAUUGCCAACUACGACACUCACAAUGGGGCACAACCACUUAGACUCACAACCCCACCUCAUUCCCAUGGCUGGCAGCAUAAUGCACUUAGAUUGCGCGCUCUCUACCACCAAAGCUUGUAGCAUUUUGUUACAUAAAUAUACUGAGCAACAGAGAAGGUAAUUGUUUUGAACUGCUUGGCAAAUUUGUUCUUUGAUAUUGGGUACAAAUGUCUCUUGUUUUUUAAAAAUUUAUAAAAAUAAUGCUAUUAAAUCUGUCAAUAAAAAAACAUUUGAUGGGUUGCUUCUAAAUAAAUGCGGAGCAACGUAAUACUUUUAGUUUUAUGACGUGAAGGCAUAUUAUCUGUCAAGGAAAUCCUACAAUACUCUGAUCAAUUUCGAAAGCAGGACUUCCACAAAGAGCUAACCGAUUUAUUUGCCUUUCUUUUCUCUCACUGCCACAUUGCUGAAUAAAUUAAAGCUUUGGAAAUGAAUAUUCAAUCAUAUAAGGCCUAUCAGGUUAGAUUGGACUUAGAACCAAUACAGCGCAAUGGGGUCUAAACCCAAUCUAAAACACUCAGAGAUCUGGAGUUUAUGGUUGAGUAAGCCCUGUUAUCAUUGGAAUUAACACACGUGAUUCAUUUUCUUCAAGCAGGAUCAACUGUUUGGCUCCUUUCCCAUUCAUCUCAGUUUCAGAUCAUAAUCAUUCCUCAUCUUAAAGAACUGCUUCUCUAUCCUAACCAUACGAGGUGUUUAUUUUGGGUUACUUGUCUGAUAUUUUUUAACUUAGAACAAUUCCUUAGUUUUGAUCAAGGAGUUGGACGUCAAUUUUUCUCACAAACGAAAACCAGCCAGAGAAAGAAAAACACAGAUCCGGGCACGGUAAAGAAGUAUCAGAGCAUUAAGCUAAGCAAUUGCAUACCCUCACACUUGCUCCUAUAGAAACAACCAAAGCUCACAGCAUUUUCAUCAGCAUCCAAACGUCUAAGCCUGCAUUUCUCUUUCGGUGCUAAAAGUUUUUGGGCAGAACAGCCAGUCACUCAUGAUGGCCAGUUCUAGAGCGCUUGAGUUGGCAGGGGCAAUGAUGUUUAUCUGCAUGGCGGUGGUUGCAGCACUGGCAGCUGAAUAAGCCCUAAUAUGUUAUCAGAUGAACAACACCUUCACCAAUGCAGUUCUUUCCUGAGGAACGGUGGUUCAGUCACAGCAGAAUGCUGCCAAGAAGUUAGGACCCUCAACAAUGGAGUUAAGAACACCAAAGACCGCCAGACCACCUGUGUGCUUGAAGAAGGGCGAUAUCCUCCAUUUAUGGAAUCAAAUUGAACUACCUCUCUGAGCUUCCAGGCAAAUGUGAAGUCAGCGUUCCAUACAAGAUUGACCCCUCCAUUGAAUGCCUGCAGGUAUUCAGGGCUCAUGGCUCUGUCUUCUGAGCAGUUGAGCAUUACUUUAAAAUUGAUGAUUUUUACUAUUGUUUUGUCAUUGUGUUGCAGGGUGAAGUAAGGUUGACAAGUUAACAUAUAUGGCACUCAGGAUAUAGUAGAUUGAGACAAAGAUGGACGGAGAGAGACCUAACGGGGACUCCUCUUCAUCCCAGAAAAAAAAAAAGAAAAAAGAAAAAAAGAGAAUGCCCAAAUAUUGCAUCUUUUGCACUACAAAUGUACUGGAUUUGCAUUCUAAUAAAAUAUAUCGUGCCUCAAGCACUUUUAAGUGUACUGGAUCUGGAUUGAAUGUGGUAAACUGUUCCAAUUGUAAUAUUAUCUGGAAUAUACUCAAAGACCACCAACAAAUCACAUCCAAAAAGAUGCAGACAGGUGAAAAUGAGUCAAGGGAUUUUUUUUCCUGUUCUUUUUGCCCCUCUUUUUCAUGACUACAGGCUUCUGAACCCUAGUCCUUGAGACACAGGACUAAUCUCAAUCAGGUAAUCACCCACAAACCCAAGAGAAGAAUUUCUCAUUUGCAUGGCAGGGCCAUGGUUUUUGGUUUAGAAGAUCAACUUAGCCAUCUAAAAGGAAGUAUAGAUUAGCUCAGGUAAUGUGUGGUAAAUAGCAGUUGACAAAUAGACAAACAAAAUCUAGAGAAGAUAAGGGAUUCUAGUUUCAGAGCUGAUUUUGCAAGUUUGCUAAUAGUGCUUAUAAGCUCAAGAAAUAUAAUAAUAUUAAUAUUUGAUCAUCCAAAAAGAACCUAGUGAAUUAUAAGAUGAUAAGAAGUUCAUGGGCAUCUAGCACAAAGAAAAAAAGAAGAAAUAAUAAUGGAGCACCAGUGCAGCACCAUACCUCUUCUUUAAAUUAAGCAUUGAAAUGGGAACCCUGCAAGAAAAGAACUUGCGACUCAUCAUACAACUAAAAAUAAGAAAUGGGAUUGGAGCUUCUCUUUUUGGAUUCAUACCUGCCAGAAAUUUAUUGACUAGAAUUUGUCCUUACAGGAUGUUUUACUCUUUCUAAAUCAGUCACUGUGCUCAAUUGUAAACAAAGUGCUCCACAGCAGGUUGUGGCUCUCGCAAGCAUGAAGCGAAUGCAGAGCUGAGAUAUUGUUGAUUAUCAUUCAACACAAAAGCUCAUGGCUUAAAUAAAACAUCUUUCAGGAAACUGUGUAUGUGUAUAUGAUUAUAUACAAAGGCAUUACUAAUUGUCAGCAAUUGGAAAUAUGGGAAGAAAUAGUUCUAAUGCUAAAAGAAAAGGAUAAGGUGCAUUUAAUUGGAUAUCAAUACAUUAUUUUACCUUUUGAUGGUAGUCUACAUUUCUCCUGUGGCAUUUACAUCUUCAUCAAGUAGAAGUCUCUCUAGCCGAGACACAAGGUUAUUUGAGGAGAAGCUUAAAAGUUCAUUAUCUCUUCUCAGGUCAUUCACUUCCUUAUUUAAAUCUACAAUCUGCCCUUCAAGCUGCUGGCUUGAUAAAAGCUGGUCUCCUAAUAUAUUAUUUUCUCUUCUCAGUUUGUCUAUCUCUUCCAUUAACUUCAUAUUUUGCUCUUCUAAUAACUGAUAUCUUGUUCUCAAGUCAUCCUCCUGAAACACGUAUUUCAAAUAAAUAACUGAUGGGAUGAAAAACAAAUAAAAAAAAGGCAAGAAAUAAAGAUAUACAUACAACACUAAUGGUAAAAUUCAUGGAAGAAUUCUUUGAGGUUGAUGGAUGCUGCAUUUGCUCUUUUGGUUCCUCUGAAACACAACAAGAUGCAGAUGGGCAUCCUGUUGCAUCUGUUAACACUUCUACUACAUUUUCUGGUGCCCUCAAAUGCUCCAGAUUGUUUUCUUGUAUCCUGUGCCCUUCUCUGACUAUUUCCCUUUCUGACCCAUUUUCAACUGCUUGUUUAUCCAUCAAGUGAGAUCUGAUUCUCAAGUUAUCAUCCUGUUAAAUGAAAGAAGUUCUGUCACAAAAACUCAAUAAAAUACUUCAAACAAGCAAGAAGAAUGUUUACAUUGGCAAGAGAAGCCCCCUCCUUUCUUACAUUUUCUUUUAAAAGAAAUAAAACUAAGGAAAAGAACUCACAUCAACAGUCAACAUAAUAGAUGAAGGAUAUUCAGGUUUAGAAACAUCCGUCCUGUCAUUUUGUGCAGCUAUUAACUCUUUGAUUAUAUCAAUUUCUAACUCCUCAGAAGUCAGUUGAAGUUCCCAAGUUAUCUGAUAACAAACAGAAGUUGUCAGCACCUACCUAACAAAAUUAAAACAAACAGCAGUUCAGUUGGAUACAUCAUGAGCUACCAUAUCAAAUGGGUGUCAUGUUAGAACACUAUGGCUAACUCAGUUAAAAGUUUUUGAGGUCUAAAAACAAGCAAAACACUUUUUUGUUGUUUCAAUCAAUAUGCAUAUGCAGGAGACCACAGGACCUAUACUACCACUACAUAAAUUAAUUGUGAAUAUAAAAUCAGUUUAGAUAGGUCUCAUUGCCUGAUUUUCCUGCAGUUCCUUAAACUUUGUAGUGAUCCAUUUUCUUUGAUGUGACCUACAAUUUUCCCAUCGGCAUGCACGGGGAAACGUCAAGUAGCAAUCUAGCAAACUAGGCCGGGCAAUGUCAAUAUGCUCAUAAGACCAUAUCUGUUCAGAACAAUAUAACCAAGGUCAAUAUUGUAAUGAUGCAUAAUAGUUACUUAAAAGAUAAAACAGCCCUUAUAAAUUUUUGCAUUAUACUUGGGCACACCUUAAAUCCUCUGGCACCAAUUCCCCAUGCUGUUUUGCAUAAAUAAUCAAGCAAAACACUGUGCUCCCUACUCAGCCUCUCUUGUGCUUUUAUUUCGCAAAAAUUUUAGGAAGAAAGAGAGAAGAUGGAGGGAGGAAAGAGUGUUGAGGUUGUGUAUGUAAUGUCAUAAAAAAGAUGCUCCAAAUAUUUAUGUGAAGACUAUAGGGAUAGCUCCUUGACUAAACAAGAAACAUAUGACAGAGAAUCAAGAAAUAUUAGAGAUAGAGUUGAAGAAACUUACUUGGAGAAAUAUAAGACAACUUCCUACAUAUUGUACAUUCAUUUCCUUUUUUUUGGACAACCACUUAAUUAUGUCCUCUAGAACAGCUGCACCCCAGGCCAGUUGAUGCACAUUAUCCAAGUCUUUGAGAACAGAAAGAUAUCGGGAAUCUACUUUUCCAUUUGCAUUUGGAAAAAGAAAUGUCCCAAAUGUAAAUAAUAAAAAAGCUCUGGCAAAAUCAUCAUUAGCUAUCUCACCAAUGGACUCAAGUUUAUUCUCAAUCGACGAAACCAUGAUUUUCCUAUUUGAAAUAGUAGCACCAUAUUCUUUUUCUAAAUCUGAAAAAGGUUCAUCUUCCUUUAAGACUACGGAAUCACCCAUUACACGUAGUCCCAGAAUGAGUGCAACAUCCAUGAGAGUAAUUGUAAUCUCCCCAGGAAGAAGUAUGAAAGCAUGCUUCUCACAACUCCACCUUUCCAUUAAUUCAACUAAAAGAUUCUUGUUAAGUGUCUGAAUAGGCAUCUCAAGGAGAUGCCCAAAUCCCAUCUUCUUUAUUGCAUUUCUUUGAUCAUCUGUUAGUUUCUCCACUCGCCUGACAAAUGAUGGCAAGGAAAACCUGGUACUGAAAUUCCCAACCUGCAUGCAUAUAUUAAGUGCACAUUUUUAUUGACAUAAGUGUGUGUUUUCCAUAAUCCUGCAUAUGUCAAUUAUAUGUGUGCUUUAUCUAAGGUUUUAUGUAUGUCACAAAACUAAAAAAGCAUAAGUUAAAAAUUUUUUCUCAUUGCCACUUGUCUUUUAGAGAAGUUCUAUUUACCUACCACCAAUUCUGUUUUUCUUUUUCUGAGUUUGUUUUUUCACUCUAUAACCAAAAUUCUCUUUCAGAUGUCAUCCACAAGUUCAAAAACACUGAAUAAACCAAAUCAACCAAACACUUUGUCCUAUCCUUAGUAACCAUGUCAUUCAAGCUUGAAAGAAGUAGAUAGCUUAGGAUACUGAGUUAUAUUCCAAAACACUUUGUCUAUUUACCCUUGUUGUAUUGAUCAUUUUUGCAUCUUAAGUAAUGAUAGCUUAGAUAGAAUCAGUAUUGAUUAAUACAAGACAAUCCAAUCAAAUACGCAAAAGACAACAUCCAACAAAGCUGAACAGCAAAAGAGGAUGCUUGUUUAGUGCAUAUUGUGAUAAUAUAUUAACAGAAGAGUGUGAGAUGGACAAGUGGAAAGAACCGAGGAAGUUAAGACAAAUAUCAAAUGCAUUUAAGAAGCAUCAAAACCAACACUGCUUGUGCUUUUAAAGUAUAUGAAGUUUGAUCACUAUGUUUUGAAAUGUUAUAUAUCCUUUCAAAAGUUUCACUCUUUUAUACAAAAGUAGACAGGUGAGAACCUCUUCAGAAAAUUUCAGCAAGCCAGAAGGGAGCAGGUUGCAAGUGCAAGACAGAGGUACUAGAGGGGCAGUAUGAAGCUAGGAAAUUGAUGACAUUCAGUAGAAAAACCUGCUAUGCUGAUGACCAAUUGGUGAGAUGAUGAAAAUUAUCUCAUCAAACACAAAUUCUUGACAAUGCAGAAAAUAGAACCAUGCAUAUAAAGGUAUAAUGCUGUUGAAUGAAUGAGUGUUGCAAAUGUUUUGCUUGAGUUUGGUUGUUUGAUUCCCAGAAAGUAUUAAGAAAAUUUUAAAAAAAAUAUUAAGGAAAAUGAUUUAUGCACAUUUUGUUUCACUAUGAAAAAUAGUGCAAGAAAAUCAAACACAAUUAAAAUUAGUUAAAAAAUAAUGCAUUUUCCCUCAAAUUUUCCGGAACCAAGAAUGGCUUAAGGUAUAUAAUUUCCAAGUCUUUGUUUACUGCUACUAUAGAACUAUAUUCCCUUCAAUUUUUUUUUAUUUUUUAAGUUUCAAUUGAAAAGAAUUCUACUUUAGGGUUAUGAACGUUCAAUAGGUCUUCUACAGCAAUUUUGUUGUUAGGUCAUGGCAAAAAUACAUGCUUUUUAUAAAAAUAAAAAUAUGGGGAAGACUAGGUACCAUGAGACCAUCCUGAAGUGCCAAUUCAUGACACCCAGGAUUCAAGUCCCUGUAUGGCCACUUCCACAAACUCAUCCCUUCCAGAAUCCCAGAAACAGGGCCACGAAGCAAUGGAUUUUAUGAGCCUUUCAAUCACAAAAAAUGCACUCAGAUCACAAUUUGCUCAAACAAAAAUUGAUACUCUCCACAUGUGUUUCUACGAAUCGCUACUCCCACAGACACAAAAUGACUAAUUUCUGUAAUUUCCAGGUCCAGGUCUCCACAUCAGCCAAGUGAAAUUUCUAAAUUUUUUUCCCAAAUUGAUAUCACAAAAUUUUAAAAAAUAAAAUAAAAUAAAAUAAAGAAAAGGGGGAAAGAAAGAACGAAAUACUUACCGAGCUCCGUUCUUCUUCUAAUCCUAUGGAAGAUUUCCUCGUCGCUCUCUUCAUCUCAACCCAAUCCUUUCACACUCCUACUGUGAACCCUAACUUUCUCAGGGCUUGAGAAGGAAAAGAACAACCAUUUGAAAAUCUUAAUAAAUCUUACUCGGAUAAUUUUUAUUUUUUUAUUUUAUUUUUGUGAAACUUGUGAUGGAAGCUUACAGGCAAAGUUAAAACUAAAAAGGGCGCGAAAAAAUGGCGGGACAUGAUUAGGUGCUUUGCGUUCACAUACGUGGCUUCUGGUGAUUGCAGUGCAGGUAAAAAUUUCGCUGACAAGGUUACCAUCCGUAAUUGGAUUUUGUGGUCCUUGUUGGAAGCUUUGAUUGAUUUUAAAUUUUAAAAUGAAAUUUUCAUGAUAAAUUUAAAAUGUAAAUUUUUUUUUUUUUACCACAAAUAAUAAAUAUUAAAAUUAGAUUUUUUUUUCCAUUUUUGGAUUCUUAAAGACAUUUUCUGUAAAUAAUAUUUUUUGAGUUUCAUUAAUAAUAUUAAAAAAUGUAUAUGCUUAGCGGUGUAAAAAAAUAUACAUAUUAAGUUCCCAAAAAGUAAAAGAUUGUAUUUUAAAAUCACUUUAUUGUUAUUAAUGAUAAUUAAUAAAGAUGAUUCACAAAAACAUGCUAUCAAAUAAUACAAUAUCUUAGAUUUGUCAUAUGUUUUGUGCCAAAAAAAUGUGUCUGAAAGUCCCAAAAAAAGGGUAAAAAAUGAAUUUUAAAAGCAUUUUCUUAUCAUUAACAAUAAUUAAUAAAAAUAAUACCACAAAAACAUGCUAUCAAAUAAUACAUUAUCUAGAUUUAGACAUAUCUCGAUAUUAGUGGUGAUGAUGUGCUUACAAUAUGGUUAAAAAUCCCAUAGAGGUGUACCCUACAUCUACAAUCUAAAAGUCCUCGUUCAAGACCUGGAGAAAGAAAAAGAAAUAAUAGCAUGUGUGUCUACGCAUAUGCACAUUUGUACUGUAAUGCCCGGCUAAAAUCAUAAUUUAGAAAUUAUUAAUUAAUUAAAAUAAUUUAAUAAGGGUAAAAAAGCAUUUUCGUAUUUAAAACACCUAUAUAUAUAUAUAUAUAUAUAUAUAUAUAUAUAUAUAUAUAUAUAUAUAUUAUAUCUUUCCUAUAUUUUCUAUUCAAAAAAUCCUUUUACACAUAGAUCAAAAAAAUCAGAGAGCAUAGGGUUGAAGGUUUGAAGGUUUAGGGUUUGAAGAUCAAUUUUUCAGGUAAGAUUUUUAAUCUUUAAAUUAAUAUUUUAUAUUCGUUAACUAGUUAUAAACACUUUAGAUAUUCUUUGAAAUAUCUUAAUUUUGAUUAGAGUUCAUUUAAUUAAUUUAUAGGUCAAAAAGAUUAAAAAUUUAUUAACAUAGUUUGAUUUAUUAAUGAAGAUCAAUAAAUUUUGAUUACUCAAAUGAAUAGAUUUAGAAAAAAAAAUUAAAAAAAUUAUAUAGUUUUGGAUGUGAAAAUUACAUAAAAUUGUGAGUAUAGAGGUUAAAAGUUUUGACUUUAGAGAGUGGAAAAAAAUGAUGAAAGAAGCGUAGGAAGGAUUUGACGUGUUGAAAAAAAAAAAAAAAGAAUUGCAUGAGGGAUUUGUUAAGUUUAAGUAGGAGAUUUAAAUAAUAGUAAUAAUAAUUUAAUGCAAAUAAAUAUUCUUAAAAGAUUUAUUUUAGAUAAGUUAGAAAAAAUGAAAUAAAUUAUUGUUUAGGAAGUUGAAAAUAAUAUUGGAUGGUAAUAAUAUUAAUAUGGGAAAUUAAUUAAGAUACCUAAUACUAAAUAAAAUAUUUUUGAGAUUGUCAAACUUACAUAUUUAGAUAAAUAAUCAAUAAUCAAUAUUGUGUAUGAUAUUAUGUUAGGUGAGGAGAAAAUUAUUCAGAGUUAAAUACUUCAAGAUUUUGAGUGCUUUUUCAAGGUAAUGGAAAUUAAUGUUAAAAAAAAUAAUUUUCUUUUUAUAUUGUAUUAUGAAAAGUGUAAAAAUAUUAUUUUUAUCUUUUUGUAUGGAUCAAAUAUGUGUUUUGUAUGGAAAGUAUAUUUGAGAAUCUUCUUUAUUUAUUUAUGAAAAGCGAAAAUUUUUUGAGAUAUGAUAUUUUGUUUUGCAAGUUUGAAUUAAUGAAAUAAGAGAAAAAAUUUGGAGAUAUGAUAUUUUGUUCUGCAUGUUUGAAUUAAUGAAAUAAAGUGUUUAACUCUAGUUCCUAUGGCCCUAGUCAACGGGUUAUAAUUGUUGACAUUUCUAUGGCCCUAAUCAACGGGUUAUAAUAGUUGAUAUUAUAUGACCCUAGUCAAUGGGUUAUAAUAGUUGACCUUAUAGCCCCUAGUCAACAGGUUAUAAUUGUUGACUUUUGGUGUUAUUCACCUUAAAUAGAACAAAUUUGAAACUAGUCACUUAUUUGUGAAGUCCCACCUAAUUGGGCACCAUUUGUUAUUUAAUAAUCAGAGUAAGAUAUUUUGAAUGCAUUUGAUUUGGUUUUGAUGAGAAAUUGUUUUGAAAUGGAUAUGAGAAAGUUUGUUGAAAAGUUUGAAUAUAUUAGUAUUUCGAACUCAAAAGUUUUUAUGAAAAUAAGUAUAUGUUAUAUCUCCUAUUUGCAAAUAUGAUUAAAAAUAUUUAAUCCAUGAAACUGCAUUGAUGUUCCUUAUUGAGUUUUAAGUUUAUGCCCCUUCGUUGAUAAUUUUUCAAGUACUUUUAGUUCGGGCGAGGAGUGAUGGCUAGGCUUAGGAAUUUUUCUUUGUUAGGUCUUUGGUUCAAACUUUUUUUUUGGACAUUGUUUAGAUCUUAAAAUUUAUUUUCCAUUUAAAUUAUUUGAAUUUGGAGUUAUUUGGACAAUAACACUCUGGUUGAUGUGUUAGUUUUUUUUAAGUUGAUACUUGGAGAUUUUAGAAUUUUGUUCUACUACUCUGAACAGGAAUUUGGUAAUUGGUAAAUUUCCAAUUACAAUACGAAUGUUUGUGUCGUUUCCACUUUGAGUCAUUGGGUUUGAGGUGUGAAAUGACCGUCAUAACCUUGUAGUGGGUUUUGGGGCGUGACAUGUACAUAGAUCUUCCAUUUAUUUUAAAUCUAGAGAAGAAAAGAGCCCUAUUUUUAAUAAAACACUUAGGGGGAAAGCUCGAUUGAUUAAGCCUAAACUAACAUCCCUUGUAUUUACUCCAUCAUAAUACAAACUAGAUAAAUCAAAUGAACCUAAUCACAAUUUAUUUUGUUUAAGUAGCCUAACAAUGGACUUAUAUGUUGUUAGUCCAAUGGUUUUCCUAAUCACAUUUUAAUGAUAACAAGCCAUGAUCACUAUACUAGUAAUUUAAAAUCAAGAUGAGUUUCAAGUUUUAUUUUGAGAAAUUCAAAUAAAAAUUCAAGAUAAUCAUCAAAGAAUCAAAGAAGUGCAAGUCCAAGGGUGCAUGAAGACUGUUCAAGCCUAGGAAUUCUUUGUAAGAUGAAUAAAUGGGUGCACUUAGGAUUUUCAUAUAAAAUCAUGCAUUUUUCAAUACUUGAUUUUUCAUUAAAACCCGAGUAUUCUCACAUGAUCCUUAGGCAAAUUAAUUUAAACUUGACUUACUAAAGUACCUAUAAACCUUGACUAAGUCUUAGAAGGAAAAAAAAAAUUAAAAAAUCUAAGUUUUUAGGUCAAAAUAGGUGAAUCAAAGAAAUUGCUCAUCAGGGAACCAAUCGAUCAAUUAAGCCUUCCUAGUAGAGGACCAACUGAGGAAUGCAAAAAAAAUUUCUCUCUCAUUCAAUAGUUAUGCAGUCCUAGUUGAUAGGAACCUUUCUCGGUCAAGGGAAAGCUCUUUCUAAUUGAGGUUUGGUCUAGGGUCCAAUAAUCACUUGUUGUGCAUUUGGUGCACAACAGUUAGUCAACUGAUUGAAUUAGAGCUCGACUAGACGAGGCUAGGUUAUGCCACUUUUGGUGUCCAAGCUAGAAACCUAUAAAUUGAGAGUUUCAUUUCAUUUACUACAUAGAAAACGUCUGUAAUUAUCUUCACAGCUACUUGUUUCUCAUUAAAAGUUUUUUCAUACUUUGUGCAUUGAUUCUUCAUUUGCAAACCACCUUAGCACCUUUGUCAUUCAUCCUAGCUUUCUUUUGUAUUUGUUCAUUUAUUAAGUUAGGGUAAUAUCUUAUUUCAUUGAUUAUUAAAGAGAGGUUGCGAGUAUUUAAAGUUUUAAGUUGAGGUAUACUUGAAGGGAUAUUGUUGCUAGGAACCCUAGAUUUAUCCAUUCCUUUACCCUGAAUUGUAUAGGUGCAUGCAAAACUACCAUAGGUCGCUAGAUCCUAUACAAGGAAAGCAAAAAAUAGAUUUUUACAAUUCUAGGAUCAAGAGGAAAGCCAUUAGAGAAAUUUACCUUUGAUUUGGAUGUUCCUAAAUCAAUUCCGCUUGGUGAAGAUGAAGAAUAAUGAAUCUAAAAGUCUCGUACACCCAAGAUCUUUCUCCUUAUGACUCGAACCAUGAUCCCAACACCCCAAAAUGUGGACUUUGGAAAUGAUGAUCUCUUGGCUCUCACUAUCUCUCUUUUUUUUUUGAGGUGGAAGACACUGUUUAUCUUAAAGUUGUGGAAACCCUAGCCCCUAUGGGGUAUUUAUAAGGUUCCCCUAUUGGGCUCACUAAUUUGAACUCACCAAGGCUUAGGUUACUUAAUUUAACCCAAAAUUGGUCUUAAUUGAUUAAUUAACCAUAUAAGGUCAUCUAAUUUAUCAAUUAGUCCAAUCCAGAGAACUUAUUCAGUAUCUCUUAUGCAACCUUGUGUAAUCACCAAAACACCCUUAUGCACAAGAAUGAACCAAGAGUCAAUUCAUCUUUCAUAAAUCAUGUCAUUAUGGUAUAUGAGCUUAAAGUGGAGACCAUUGGGACCCAUAGAAGUACUAUCUCUUUCAAAAUCCAAUUUUGAAAUUUAUUCAACAUUCCACCAAAGAGAAUCAAUUGCACUUCAGUAUCUUAAGUAAUUAAAAACAAGAAGAAGCUCGGGGUCCAUGACCUAUUAUACACCAUAUGCAAAUUUAUCAUGAAUUGAUGUUCGUAAUCUAACAAGGUAGUGCUAUCAUCUAUUAAGAUUAUCUCUUCAAUUAUUGAGUUAUAAAUUCCAUUUAUUAUGUGAUCAAUUGAGAUAUUAUAACUCUAAAGAGCAUAUAUCAAAUUUCCACUAAAUGAAAUGUUAUGACCAUAGUUUUCUAGAUCACAUGUCCUUUGAAUCACCCAAUGAGACACAUUGUCUCAAUCCAUGAGAUAUCAUGGUGUCUUUAUUGAGACUACCUAUUACCACCAACCUCCAUCAAAAGUGGCUCAAUCCAUAGGGAUAUAUAACCACUUUAGGAUCUCACUCAUAGGUUAAAACCUCUUGUUAACUUUGGCGCAUGCUCAAUAUCCUCUUAAGGUUGAGAGUUAAUGCAGUAUAGUAGUCUGGUGAAUCAUGAAAAUUGAUAGCCUUAUGUCAUGAUUCACCGUAGGUCCAAUCCAAUGCUCAUCAUAUGCGCUAGUACACUCAUUAUAGGAAAAUCAUCCUGACAACCAAGACAAAUUAUCCCACUAAUUAUGAGGUAGUAUACUACAGUCUCAGAUGGAUAGCCCAAAUCCAUGAACCUACUAUGAACAACUCAUCACUCUACAAGGAAUCCAUGACUUGAAUCUUCUGUGCAACUCCUAAUGCACCCAAGUCAUGUACAAUGUAAGUGAUGUAAGGUGUGUAUGUUCAAAUAACCUAUUAAUACAAAUGAGAUAUUUAAGGGAAACUAAGAAACAUAAAUAAAUAAAUUUAUAAAUGAAUUUCAAUCUGUUACAUCAUAUCAUGCUUUCCAAUGCUCAAUCCCAACAAUUGUAAUGUCCAUUGGAGCCAGAAACCAAGUGUAGAGCAUUGGAACCUUUGAAGCUUGAGGAGAGUGAACGUAUAUAAGAAGUAUCGAACCACUAUAAAAACUAUGUUUGCUUUCACUAUAGAUCUCUUUAUUUAUUCCUUUUUAAUUUGUUUAAAUUUGGUAUGUUUGGAAAAGAUUUUUAAAAACUCAAUUCACAUCAUCUUGGGUGAUUUUCUUAAUUGAUUAGCCUUAAAUCCACGUAUGUAAAUAAUAUUUUUUUUCAUUAUUGUUUGUGUUUCACAUAACUUUAUUAUUUAAUAAUGAUUUUUUUUCUUCAUGUAGGAAGGAGAUCAUAUUAUUAUCACCACUAGGAGUUGUUUAUGCUAAAGACACUAUAACUCAAAGCUUUUCUUCCAAUUUAUUAAUAUUUCAACAUUUGAUGUAUUGGGCAAUCAAGUUAAAUACUUUAAAAUUUUCAUGCUAUUUCUAUUUAUAUUUCAAACUAUAUAUAUUAUUGACAUAUAAAAAAUAGUUAAUUAAAGUUUAGAUGUAUAAUCAUAGUGAACAAAAUAAGUGUAGCAAAAAUCACAUGCACUUGCCAAUCACCCCCUCAAACUUUAAAUCUUACGUCCACCAUUCUCUUCAGGUUUUGGGCUAGUCAAAACAUGUCCUAAAUUCACUAUAGAAAUUGCAAAAAAUAUCAUUUCCUACCAUCUAUUAAAGAAUGUUUCAUUAAAAGAAUCGAUUUUAGAGGUAUCGGGACGAGUGUGAACUACGGAAGUUUUUUUUAACAAAAAAUAAAAUAAAAAUUGAUAUACUUUUAAGAUUAUUGAAAAAAUUAGGUCUAAAAAAAUUAUGCUAAACUAAAAUUAACCAAGCGCAAACAAAUAGGAAAAUAAAUUCUAAUUAGGGUAUCCAUCAUAUUUGCCUUAGGUGUGACAAACAUUAUCUUUAAAGUAGAUCUACACUCCUCGAGUAUCAAACUCGGUGCAAUAGAGAACUAACGUCUUACUUUCAUAAUUCAAUAACCAAAAUCCUUGCUUUAGGUGCACACCUUUAGCAAGGAAUAAUACAGCUCAAUCUUAUAGAAAUUCUUCUAAAUGAAAAGUUGAAAAUAUUGGAAUUAGGGUACAACAACGUUCAAGUAUUACAAUAGAGUAUGGUACUACACUAACAAAAGGAGACGUAGUGCUGAAAAAUGGCUACAGUAGAUAGUAGAUGUAAUAACGAUAGACAAUAUAACGAUAAUUUGGUUACUAGUUGUAGUCAAGGUUUGAAAUAUCAAUAAACACGAAUAUAUCGGUACUUGAAUUUUACGGAUAUAUUAAAAAUAUUGGUGGAUAUUUUGACAAAAAUAUCAAUGAGGCGAAAAUUAUUCAAAAUUUAUGAAAAUAUUUGGAAAAACUUCAAAAAAUAAUAAAAUUAAUUAAUUAAAAUAUGUAUGUUAAAAUUGUUUUCUAAGUGUAAUUAACAUAGAUAUGGUCAAAGAGAAAAAUAUUGGUAAGUAAGGAUAUAUUGGUCUUAAUAAUUUAUUAUUUACCUAAUAUAAUUAAAUUAAAUUUAUAAAAUAUUAGAACUUCAUUAUUAUUAUUAUUAUUAUUUAAUAUUUUAGUAUUUUAAAAUAAAUUUAUAUUUUUAAUAUUUUAAAAUAAAACAUUAAAAAUUAAAUAAAAUUAAAAGGAUAACUAUAAAAAAAUUUAAAAGUUAAGUGACGGUAUUUUUUUAAAAAUGGGAUUAAUGAGAUAAAUGAUGAUACAUUUAAUAUUAAAGCUAUAAUUUAUUUAAUUCAAAUGUAUUCAAUAAUGUAAAAUAAAUUAUGAUGUCUAUAUGAUUUUUUAAUUUUUAUAUUUUUAUAUUUAAUUAUCAUAUAAAUGAUAUUAAAAAAUACUUGUUAAGAAAAUUAUAAUGAUGGUUUUUAUACAUUUAUUAAUCAAUUAAAUAAAAUUUAAAUAAAAUAAUUAAAUUUUUUUUUUUUAAUAAUGAACUUUAACAUAUUUAUUAUUAACAUAUAUUAACAAAUGAGAACUUGGCCUAGUGGUAACCAGGCUUGAACUCAAUAAAAUUUGAAAUUUGAAGGGGCUUGACGUGUUGACCAUGUUUGACUUACCAAAAAAUCGGUAAAAAAAAAAAAACGUAGCCAAUUUAUAGAAGAAGGAUCCUAACAUUUUAAACCAUGGUUAUGAUGCAAAAGAAGUAGCUAAUUUAUAGGAGAAGGAGAUUACAGAGAGGAAAGGAGAAUGAAUAACUCUAAUGAGAAUGAGCCAAAUCAAUCUAAUAAAUUUCAAAUGUUAUAAAUGUUUAUAACAUUUAUUAAUCAAUUAAAUAAAAUUUAAAAUAAAAUGAUUAAAAUUAUUAUUAUUUUUUAAUAAUGAGCUUUAACAUAUUUAUUAUCAACAUAAAUUAACAAAUAAGAACUUGGCUUAAUAAUAACCAAGCUUGAACUCUAGAAAAUUUGAAAUUUGAAGGGGCUUGGCGUGUUGACCAUGUUUGACUUACCAAAAAAUCGAUAAAUGUCGAUGAAAUAUCGACGAUAUUUUAGCGAAAUAUCCAGACAUUCCAAACCAUGAUUACGAUGCAAAAGAAGUAGCCAAUUUGUAGGAGAGGGAGAUUACAGAGAGGAGAGGAGAAUGAAUAACUUUAAUGAGAAUGAGCCAAAUCAAUCUAAUAAAUUUCAAAUGUUAUAAAUGUGAGGGGCCCUCAUGUAGUAACCAAGCUUGAACUCAAGAAAAUUUGAAAUUUGAAGGGGCUUGAUGUGUUGACUGUGUUUGACUAACCAAAAAAUAAAAUAAAAAACAGAUAAAUGUCAAUGAAUAUCGAUGAUAUUUUAACGAAAUAUCCUGACAUUUCAAACCAUGAUUACGGUGCAAAAGAAGUAGUCAAUUUAUAGGAGAGAGAUAUUACAAAGAGGAGAGGAGAAUGAAUAACUCUAAUGAGAUGGAGCCAAAUCAAUCUAAUAAAUUUCAAAUGUCAUAAAUGUGAGGGCCCUCAUGUAGGAUGUGAGGGGCCCAAAUUCCCACUAUAAUGGGUUUGAGCCCCUUGGAUGUGCAAGGCUCCCACUCACCUCUCCACAAGCUCAUGAGGCUAAGUGAGGUAGAAUAUAUACCUAUAAAAGUACCUGUUCUUUUCCAAUAUGGGAUAGACACUUUUUAUAUUUUUUUUCAUUUUAAAGAACACUUAGACACAUUCUCUUCCAAAACUUGACACUAUAUAAAUGGUGAAAUCUUCAAAAUUGUGUGAACAAAUUUUAAAACUAUAAGAGUUUAUUACACUCAAAACAAACAAUAUCCAUAUGAAAAGGAUUGACUCAUUAUAAAUGGUAUAAAACUAUGUUCCCGACUUGGUAUAAGACUCUGUUGGAGUUGUAAGAAGCAUUUGUUUGUUUGAAUCCAUGAUCCCAUGGGAUAAGACAAGAAUGUCAUGUUUGCAUGAAAGGAAGAUUAUGAAAUAAAGUUAAUUUUAUUCACAUCUCUUGAGUAUUAAUUGAGUUAAAUACAUCUAGCUAUUAUUAAUUUGAAAUUUUAUCAAAUACUUCUCAUACCUUUUCUAUUUGUUAUUUUAAGGGGAUGUGAGUGAAAUUUACCUUUAGAAUAUAUUACAUUAGUUAAAAAGAAAAAGUUACCAAUACUAUAUAUGUAAUCAACUCAUCUUAACUUUAUAGAGAACUUUUGUAACCAUAAAACCUCUUAGCAGAAAAUGGGUGUUACCACCCGUGAUCAACAAAAGAAAAGGAAUAACAAUACUCUUUUUUGUUUACACUAAUAUCAAUAAAUAAAACCUCAUCCUAUAUCUAUAAAUAUAAUGGUAGAAUAAAAGGAAAGAGUACUCUAGUAUUGCCCUCUCCUUUACUCAUUGAUGCUUUAAUUUGGGAAAAGCCUUUCAAGAGUUGAAAACUUUUUCAGAAAAUUAAUGUUGAUGCAAAUUAUAGGCCAACAUCUAAAAAUCUCAUCCAUUGCCAUGAAAUUAUUUUGCACUCACUUUCUGAAACGAGCCCAUGACAUCCUGAAUCCUAUCCUUUAUAUGAGCAAGUCUCACAUGGGAAUUAUCCUCAUUUGUGGGCCAAUGGUUACAAAAGCAUAUCUGUUCACCACUCUACUGUGGUCUCCCAUGGCCCCCAACUCUGUAAAGCUUCUUGAAUUGGCUAAGCACAGAGGCCAUCGCUUGAUCAAUGCAGUGAAACCAUGUUUCACUGCUAUUUUACUAUACUACACCGAAGUGUUUUAAUGGCCAGCAACCAAGGCAGACCAUGACUGGUGGAGACUGGACAGCAGUUGAACCAUUUCCACCUAUUGGGUUGGUUGGGUCAAAACUCCCAUCGAAUGUUUGGUGACUCUUGGGCUUGACCCCAGCUCACCCAUCACCUAAGCUCAGAUAUUAGGUUAUCUUCUUCUGAUCCCAAUUGACAUUCACAUAAUAUAUAGAAAAAAUCAUAUUUUUUCCAACCCCCAACAGUUUCUCAUUCUAUCGUACCUAACUUCAUAAAUAAUCAAGUCCAGUACCCAUACGGCUGUGAUGAAAUCUGAAUGCAAAGGUGUUAACCAAGAAGGUCCAUGUGUUAGAUCUUGUCCAAUCAAGGGUCCACCCUCAAGGGACACAAGCUAAACCUACCAUAAUUAGCGGCUACACGUGCCACCGGUUCCACCGGCCAUUGCGGAUCGGGGCAUUUGCUGACCACAAGAUGGUCGAUCACUUGCUCACGUAUGAUAUGAGUGGCCCAGAAACAGACUUUAAGGUUUAGUCCCUCUCGGACUGGUGCAGAUCCAUUUAAAUCAGCACCGAUGUGUUUAGUAAAACUCUAUACAAAACAAGAUAAAAGUCCCUUUUCUAAUUUCCAAAUGAAAAGCGAAAUUAAUAUCACAUGAUCAACUUUUUAUAAACUUUUUUGUAAAAAAGUGAAAUGUUUCGUGUAACGCUUUGGGUGAAUGACAGUAACAUCAUGGAAAAGGGGAAACAUAAGUAGGGUUCACUUUGUGUGACCAUGCCUGCAGAGGGUAAAAGGGAAAAGAUGGAAAGAUUUUUUUUUUUUAUGGAUAGGUGUAUUUCUUUCACUUAAUUAUAGUUUUAUGAGCCUACCAUGACCUCAAAAGGUAUGUCCCAUCAAAUGAAACAAAGGCAGAUCAUAUCAUACAGGCAGACCAUCUAACCCAACGGUUGUGAUGAGUGGGGGAAUAGGUUUGAUAUUUACAAUUGUGAACUUGGGAUUUGGUACUGAGGAUUAUUAGGAUUUAUAAAGUUGCUGAUCAUGAUUAGGUGGGCAAAAAGGGAUCCCAAAUGUAUCUCGCUUUCACUAUGUAUCUUCUCGUUUGUGUCUUGUAUAUAUCUCUUGACCCCUUCAAAGCCUACAAUCAUCACUUCACAAGUCCUGUGCGCCACAAAGGUCAGUCCUCUGUAGUAUGUGGAUGUGGAUGAUAAGGAGAAGAGUAGAGGUCACCUGCAACUAGGAAUUAUGAAGCUCAGGUAAGGCUGUGAAAAGUUGUUUCUUGUUCCAAUUUCGAUCCUCUUUGUGGGUUUUCUUUUCCCCUUUUGCCUUCUUGUUGUUGGGUUUUGGUUCCAAGGAGAAACCAAGCUGGCUAGAGAGGACCAUCUCUGAUUGAGAAGCUGGAAUCGUGCAGCAAACGGUCCCUUAUUCGGAUAGCAAAUUACCAUUUCUUUUUCCCUUAUCCUAGAGACAAAGAAGAUGCUCUUUCUGUGUCCCUUUCUAGUUGGAAUCUCGACAACAUUACUGUAAGUCUGUAACUCGAAAGAACAGCCUUCGUCUUUUGCCAUAAUUGAAUCAAUAAGAGCGUAAGAGCAGAAAACAUAGGCCUGCACUUUUCCCUUUUUUUGCUUCUCUGCAGCUACUUCCUCUCUUGGGUAACUCCCUUUAAGUUUUCCAAGCCGUUAGUGGUUAGAUUAACCCUUCUGCUAUAGCCCCCCGAGUAAGCUCAGCUGGGUUUGUGAAGUUGUGGAGUGCGGAACCACUGAACCAAGCUAGAAAAUGGUGAAUCCGAUUCUUCAUCAUCUUCAUCAUCAUCAUCAUCGCCUCCUGCUCGAUACGCCGGAGCCGAGCACCAUGUCAAAUGGGAACAGUACUCAUGAGGCUUAUGUGAACGAGACCAACUUCGACACCAACAUGGUGAUCAUCCUAGCAGCCUUGCUAUGUGCUCUAAUAGGAGCACUUGGGCUCAACUCAAUCGUGCGCUGCGCCAUGCGCUGCAGCAGAAGGCUCUCCCCGGAGUCCCAGGGGCAAGCUGCUACUGGCCUCAAGAAGCGUGCUCUGCGCCAAAUUCCGGUAGCAGUUUAUGGGCCCGGAGUGGAGAUUCCGGCCACUGAAUGCCCAAUUUGCCUGGGCGAGUUUGUGCAGGGGGAGAAGGUUAGGGUGUUGCCCAAAUGCAAUCAUGGGUUCCAUGUGAGGUGCAUAGACACAUGGCUGGUGUCACACUCAUCCUGCCCAAAUUGUCGCCACUCAUUGCUUGAGCGCCCAACAACUUCAGACGCAGCUGGUGAGGUUGCCCCGGAACAGCCACAGCCAAAUGGGUCCACCCACCAAGGUAGCAUUGUCAUUGCUGUCCAUGAGACAAGUUAAUAAUGCUGGCCUUAAAAUUAAGCCUACUAGGCUACAUCUUUUGUUUCACCAGUACUGAACUACCCCAGAUUGCAAAUGCUAAAAGUUGUUUUUCAGAUGAUUCAAAAUCAUAGUAGACAUCAAACCAACAUGCUUCUGUUAUGGGCUUAUCCACAUUUCUCUUCAUUUCUAAACAAAUGGAUCAAUACUAGAGGAGAAGUUUCCGUGAUCUUUGUCCAUGUGCCUUACCAAAAUCCAAAGGUUUUUCAAUUGGGUGGUGCAUUAGACAAGCUUUCUUUUCUCCAUUUAAUAAUCUGUGUAACGGCCAAAACUGAUUUUGGCGAUGUAUUGGUGAGUGAAAGUGCCUGCAUACCACCCACUAAAGUGGGCUGAGAUUUCCAAAUUUCACAUACUCUGUUUGGUUGGGGAGAAAGUGGGUGAGAGAGAGGGAAAUUUUGGACUCUUUUCAACCGUAUGGGUUUGGAAUGGUUGAAAGGUUAUAAAAUCUGUUGCGUCUACGCUUCUUAGCAAUUAAUGGAGCAUUAAGGUCUCAACCUACAAUCGUUGAAAUAAAAAGAAAAAAGAAGAUAACUUCCUUGGGCUGGCUCAUCUUAGCUCUAACAUACUAAAAUCUCAUUUCAGAGCAAUGCCCCCAGUAAAUUUUCCUGCACCUCACACCUUCUGGGUAUGAGGUCCUCCAAUCAAUGACAUUAAUCAGUGGGCCAUCCACUAUCUACCUCAUUGAUUGAAUUGCUUCUAAAUCCUUCCUGUUCCUUCAACUGCAAAGGAAGCUUUGAAUUUUAACCAUCCACGGAACAUCAGAUAAUGACAGAUGGGGGGCUCGAUGAACUCUUUUGUUUCAUCUGCUCCUCCUUAGAUGACCCAUCAUUCCAUGCCAUAUCAUAAACUGUUUUAUUCCCAAAUAAACAACCCUUGUUGAUUAUAUCUUCUGAAAGAGCAAUCAAUCCAAUGGCAGUAGUUAGUACUUAAUCAGAACCAUCAAGUUGGACACCAUUUUUAAAGCUCUUUUUGACAGUUCCAGAAAAAGUAUUACAUAAUAUUUUAUCACCAAUCAGAGCACUUUGGUACGGAUUUUGCGUAUGAUAUUGAAGUUUUUGAACUAAACUUAGGAGUGAUGUAUUUUUUGACAAUACCUUUCAAGGAAAAAGUUCUAAAACUAUGGCCAUGAUUCCUAAAAAGAACUAAGAUUUUUUUCCAUAUUAAUUCCAUCAGUUAGAAACACAGCUUUGUGGGUCUAAGAUUUGUAAGUUGGGCUAAUUUUGAUUCCAUUUCAAGUUAAGGGAUUUUGAAAUGGGGAUCCCCACCAUGGCCAACCUAAUGUUGGAUUUGAAUCCUGAGAAAAGUUGCUUAAUGAGGGAAUUAGGGGUUUGGCCCCAACAAAUUGGCAUCACUUCCCACAAGACCUUGUAUCAAACCAAUAUUUGAGAAGAAUACUAAAUUUUUAAUAUAUGCUAAUAAAAGAAAAUUAAUUAAUCUGUAAAUAGCAAAUACAAAAAAAUGGAAAAUUAAAAUUUGGCAAAAAUGAUAAAUUAGUCUCCUAAAACCGCUGUACCUUUUCACUAAAAACCCUACUCACCAAUCAUCAUUUGGGCCUUGACCUCCAAAAGCCCACUUUCCAAGUCCAUGGUUUUCAUGGUCCAGCACGAACCCCAAACCCAAAUGGUGGUGAGUACUGAGGAGUGAGGAUGAGAGCAAUCAAAAUUUAAAAUCAAGGAAAAUUCAGGGGUUCAACGGCUAGUAAACAGUACACCAUUGAAUUCUCGUCUGAGAGCACCAAAUGCAGGCAAAUCAAGAGCAGCAGAAGCAGCCAUGGAGUCUCCAAGUUCAUGCCAAGGCCAAGAACUUCAAUUUCAAACUCAAGGCCACCCAAAUCAUACCCUCUCACAAGUUCUUUCGCCUCUCAGUCUUCCUCAAGGUCUGCUCUUUUUCCCUUAAAGCUAGAUCUGAACGCGGACCUCCAGCGUCUAGGCAACACCGGACGCCACUCAGAUCCAAAUUCGCCAGGAUUCUCGAGAAAAUUCGGUCCCGAGGCACCAAGAAACCAGCCAUUUCUGCUGUGAAAACCUCGAGUCGUCGACGCCCAGAAGCUAAACUUCCCCAAAAUCAGCGACCGAAACGAUUCGCUUACGAGGUAAUGCGAAAUUACACAUGUUUGUUUUGAUGUUGAUCCAAAUUCUAAUCAAAAUUUUGAUGGGUUUUAUGUGUUCACAGGAACCUAUCUACGUGGGUUCGAUAAUGAUGAGAGGCCUGGCUUUUCUUUCUCGCUCGGUCUCGGUGAAGGACCACAGUGGAAUCAUCAUCCACACCUCAAUAAUCUUGCUGUACCUUGCUUUAUUGUUUAAGAAAUACACGACAAGAGAAACUAGUAAUCUAUUGGCAACUUUGAUUGCUGCAAUAGUGGGUUGUUCGCUUGUGUUUGAUAUGAGCAGUGGCCUGAAUUAUAAUGGCGGCCUUGUUUCAGAAUGUGUUUGGACGAUCUGCAACUUGGCAGCCUCUUCUGGGUGUUUGUAUGUAUUUUCCCAGGUAAAUUUUGCUCCGUUCUAGCUCUUUAUUUUGCUCUCUCACACUUGAAGUUAAGAUUGAAAGCUUCAUCAGUAAUCAGAGGCCACUUGCUCUUAAAUUUCAGGUAAUUUUCUCAAGGUUUUUUCAAUAUAUGAAAGCACUCAGAUGAUUGGGGUCUUCUGGCGAUGAUACUGGUAAGGCUUCUUGUUUGUUCCAUUGGUGUUUUCUGCAAUGGUUCAAGCCAGAUACUUGAGGAGUAAAUAUUUUACAAAGUUUGAAUAAAUUUCUUUAUUGUCCAUUUUUAAGACACUUAAAAGUUUGUGAAGCCAGAAAUCAAAUGUAAAGCUAAAGGUCACAGGCCAGUAGACAAAGUGUAAUAAGAAUUGGUGUCACAAAAAUUUGAAAAUUUUAAUUUUAUAUACUGCCUUCAUGCUUUAAUUUAUUGUUUGUAAAGUAUCUUUCUCAACUUCACCUUACAGUGAGUGAAGUCCCAACCCUUUGAAGAAGGUGGGGGGGAUGGGAGGGUGAAGGGGGAGUGGGGAUCAUCACGGUAGGCAGGGGCAAAGCUAGGAAUAGGAUACGGGAGCAAUAGAAUAGAGGCUAAUUUCAAGAGGGGCAAAUAUAAGCCAAGAAGCAAUGUUUGGCUCAUCUCUCUUAAAACUGAGGUAUUUUUAUUUUCCCCCUUUUGGGCCUUAGGUGGGAAAAAAAGAUUGUGGAAUUCUAAAUUUUAGAUAUAAAUUGUUGAAAAUGAGUUUGGAAUUGGAAUGUGUUUUUCUUUUUUCUUUUUUAACUUCUUUUUGUUUAAUUAAUCAUCCCAUGAUUUUUAUUUUUUUUUAAAUCAAUGUUUCCCUUGAGAUUUAAAAAAAAACAAAUUAGGUUAGCUAUAUAUUUCAUCUUUUUUUAAAAAAAAUUAGUUGUUAAAAAAUAUCAAACUUUUAAGACUCGAGGAAAAUUAAAAAUCAGGAAAAAUUGACAUUUACCAUUGAGCGAUUUUAUAAAAUUGAUAGAAUUUUAGCUAAAAUUCCAUUAUUUUCAUAAAAACAAAAAUAUAAUGUGGUUCAUCAAUUGAAGAGGCUUUUGCAUUUAAGGUAGGCUAUAACUAUUGAUCGAGGAAAAAACCUUAAUCGAUCGAGCAUUGGUCGACAAGUCACUUAACCAAUCAAGAUUUUUGUCUUACAAUGAUUGUUUGUUAUACUUUUGUUCUUCUAACAAUUAAUAACUUAAUUAACCAUCAAUUGAUUGGUUUAGUUUAAAUUGUUCCUAAAUGUCAAAUAAUUCACAUUUUUAACAUAAUUUUUCCAAAAUAAAAAAAUAAAAAAUUGUUGCAUGACACCAUAUGGAAAUCUCAACCCACCAAAUGUUUGACAAAUAAACAAGAAGACCAUUCCUUCAAACAAAGAAAACGAACAAAUAAAGAAGCUUCCACCCACUACAUGUCAAAAUACUAAUAUUAUAAACAAGCAUGAUGACUAUUAGUCUAUUAGAAUAAUGAUUAUUGGUCCAACUCAAUUGAAAAAAUAUAUCUCAGGCAAUAAUAAAGAAUAUAACAACAAAUAAUAAUAUAUUAAUCUUGUCACCCUCAACCAUCCUCCCUUCAUUCUAUCUAAUUUAUUUAACCAAGAUUGAGAGAAUAUUUUUUUAGAUGCCUUAAAAAAACCAUUAAUUAAAGGUUAUAAAAACUAGGGGUGACAAAAUUUAACAUGAUUGGUUAAUAUGACACAACCCUAACACGUUUUUUGCGGGUUUGAGUUAAGUAUAAAUAGUUUAGAUCAAAUACGCAUUAAUUUAGAUCAUUAACCCACAUAACAUGAAUUUGACCCCAUAUUGAACCAUUUAAUAAUCUCGUUAUUAAUCUAAUUAUAUUUUCAAACUACUUAGUUAAUAUUUGACUUAUUUUAAAAUUUUCUUUUAAAUAAAUAGGUCAAUUGAUUCAUAAACAUUAAUCAUAUAAAUAUAUACAAUUCUUUAACUCAAUUCGAUUAUUAAAUAAGAGGACUUGAUUAUUAAAUGUAUUAAAUGGAUUACACAACGUGUUACCUAUUUAAUAAUGAGGUAGUAUUGGGGUUUAUGUUUUCUAUACGAUUAUUAUUCAUGUCGAGUUUAGGUUUAUGUAGUAAAAUACCUAAAAUUUGACAUGACACAAACAUGAUUCACUACUGUGAAUUGCCAUCCCUUUACCAAUAGAAGAUUAAGAAUAAAAUAAUAUAUAAAUUUCAAAUAUCGUUCGGUCAUGGGUUGUCUAUGGCUCCUUAAGAAAAGUAGUGGUUGCAUCAUCAUUAGAAGUAAUUGCAUCCUUAUUUGAAGUGUGACUCCAUUGUAGUUAUUUUGAAUUCUUCGAUAAGAGUAUGGUAAGAAAACUUUUGAAUGAAUGGAAUAGUCAAUCUUGAUCGAAAAAAGACUUACUUUUGAAGUCAUUGUUUAUAUAAAUUAAAAGUCGUUGAAAGUUGCAUACCUCAAUAUUUUUAAAUCCAUAAAUUAUGACAACUAAGGUAGUUAAAUGUGUUUAAUGUACGUUUAGUCAUAUUUUUAUUUUGUUUUUUAUUUAUAUUUUAUAUUUUGUUUUUAAAAUAAAAAAUUUUACAUAUAAAAAUGAAAAUUCUUUUAUAAAAAGUAUAGAUUCGUCUUAUAUCUUUAAAAGUAAUUUUAAAACCUUCUAAAAUUUAAGGUAAUAUUUUUUUUUACAUCAAUUAUUUUGAAAUAAUUUUUAAAAGUAUUAUUUUUUAACAUAAAUCUCUAAGAAUUCUUGUACUUUAUAUAAAAUGUAAUAUCAUUUUAUAAUUUUAAAAAUAAAAAAGAGAAAGUAAAGGUAAUUGUUUUUCAAAAUAAUUUUAUAUUAUCUAAAUAAAGAAAAAAAAAACAUGUUUGGUAAAUAGAAAAGAGAUUUCUGAUAUUAAAAACAAAAAACAUGAUAGGGUUUAUUUGGUAACUAUUUUAAAAAAUAAUUAUAAAAAAUAGUUUUUUAAAGCUAUUUUUAAUUUUUGUAAACAGAAAUAUAUUUGAAAACUUAAAAUGUUUUUAAUAUGUUUUAAAAAUAUUCUUUUAUAUAUAAUAUUUUAUUUUUAAUAAUCUUACAUUUUGUAUAAUUAUUUUUUAAAACAACCUUACAACAAGAAGUGAAAAUCAUAAUUGUUUUUUAAAAUAGCCUUUAAAAAACAAGUGAAAAUAACAUAAAAUAACCAAAAGAUGUUUUCUAAAAAAUACACCAUAUUAAAUAGAAUACAAUUUUUGAUGGUCAAAUGUGUUUUUUUAUUAUAGAGAACAUAAAAUUGUUUUAAAAAAUAGUUCACAAUGCUCGUGAUUUUAGAUAAUAUUUUUUAAUUAUAUUUAGUUAUUUUCUAAAGAGUUAUUUUUAAAAAUAAUUAGAAAAAUAUAAAUAAGGAUUAAAAACUUAUAUAUAAAAAUAUAAAAAACAUGUUAAGAAUAUUUUAGUUUUCAAAUAGAAUUUUAUUUUAUAAAAUAUUAGAAAAUGGUUUAAAAAAAUUGUUCUAAAAAUGGUUUUAAAAAAUUCUUAUGAAAUAUUGUUUUAAAACAUAUUAAAAACAUAAAAAUCAUGUGAAGAACAUUUUAGUUUUUUUUUUUUUAAAGCACUAAGUAUAAAAUUUAUUUUCAAAACAUAAAAAAUAUGUUAAGAUUAUUUUAAUUUUUUAAAUAAAUUUUAUUUUAUAAAACAUUAAAAAAUAAUAUUUAAAAAUUGUUAUUGAAAACGGUUUUAAUAAUUCCAAAAUUUUCAUUUCAACAUGCAAAAUUGUCAACAUUUUAUCGAGCGGCAAAGCAGGCCCUUCACCAAUGCUUCAUCCUGAAAACCGAAAGUAGGCCCGUGAACCAGGCCCAGGCCCAGGAGACAGCGGUGGGCCCGAAUUCAGCCACGGGAGCAGGGCGCGUGGGAAAAGGCACCAAAGAGGAAGAGAAACAAAUAAAAAAAUGAAAAAGACAAAAAGGGGGGGGGAGGGGGUGAUGUUGAGUAGUGGGUUUGAAUGGGAAAACGGGGACCGUAGAUCUACGGGAGGCAAGAGCAGAUCUGACGGGACAGGUUGAGAGUCAAAGAGCUAUCUUGAUGGGUCUCUUUGACCACACCCUCCCUCUUUCUAUUUUAAUAUUUAUUUUAUUAAUUAAUAAAUGACUCAAGUUUUCCAACUUUGACUGCCUUGUCACUUCAUUCCAGGCCCCUCUUCCUUGAAUCUCCAGCCACUCUGCUCCUUCACCCCCAUUUUUAUCAUCUUGCCCCUCCCCCUCCCCGGCCAUCCCCCUAGGAAACCAAACUCAAGGGGGCAUUCAGGUAAACUCACAGUGAGAAAGCCACUUCUGUUGUUUUACUGUAACAAUAAUAAUAAUGAGACUUAAUAAUUAAAAAUAAAAAUAUUUGAAUUUUUAUUAAUUAAGUAUAAAAAAGGAAGGGGGGUUUUGGGUAGGUUUGACUAGUGCUUCAUUGGGGGCUCCAUUCCAAUAUUCUUAUCAUUUUUUUAUUUUUAUUUUUAUUUUUUUUUCUGUCAUACUUUUUCUCUCUCACAAGUCACAAGAAAAAUCUUUCUCUUCCUUUUCCUCAUUUUCCUUUCUUUGACUUGCUCAGGGUUUCGUUUUUAUAGUAUCAAAUCUCCCUCUCUUCUCUGUUUAUCUCUUCCAAGAUCGAAACUUUACUGCACCCAGGGCGCAAUCGAGAUCAGUGGCUGUUGCAGAGACGACUUGUUUUGGGUUCGGUUCGUGUUUUUUUUUUUCUUUUUUUCUUUUAUAUUUUGGGGCCUUGUGUGUUCUUGUUUAUGUUCUGUCUGGUUGCUGGGAAAUCCUAGGAGAAGAAAUGAAUUCUUUAUGGAGGUUUUGUGGUUGAAUUGGCUGUUGUAGGAUUGUAAGGAUUAUUAUUAUUUUUUUUUAAUUUUCUUUUUUUUCUUUGGACAAUUUCUCGGCAUCUAAACGAAGAAUUUCAUUGUAGAGAAUUUUGGAAUUGUAUUAUUGGGAAAAUUUGGAGUGUUUUUUUAGCUUGAUUUUUUUUUUGGAGCUAUGAUGUUCUUGUUUUGAUGCUUGACUUGGUUUCAUCAUGCUAAUGGGGAUGUUCAGUUGAGGUAUUCCGACUGCUUUGAUGGCCUUAACGUCCAUCUUAGGAAAAUUCAACCAGCUAAUUAGUUUUUUUCCCCUCUCUAAUCGCGUGAACCUUGGUAUCUUUUGGUGUUUUUUUUGGGGGGGUUGAGAUUUGGAGUAGUUUUGGAUCUGAGUUGAUUUUGAUGCAGAUGAUUGGGUGCUGAGUUUAUGGGCUUCUUCUCAUCUCUUUUUCUUUCAUGAAGUAUUAAUGGAUUUGCCGUGGGCAGGGGUUUUUAGGUGCUAUUUACUUUUGAUGUUGGCUUACUGUUUGUUUUUAUUUCAUAUUUCUGUAUCGUCUAAAGGUGAAUUAAGAUUGGCCCUGGAGAUUGCAAUAGUAUAUUGCCUUAUCCACAUGCCAUGUUGCCACUCUGUAUGUCUUUAGGGUUUUUGCUGAAAAAUCAUUGGAGGUUUGUAACUUUGUAGGUAAACAUGAUUUGAAAGAUUGUAUCAAUGUGGAGGACAUACAUUGGACCGUCUCUCAUCGCUGGCCUAGCAGAGUUGAGAAAUUCUUUUAAGGUUUGGGGUCAGGCCAUGUAUGGAUCAAUUAGAAAGACAGAAAUCAAAACAUUCUGGACCUUUUUUUUUUCUAGGUUAAUUGAUAAAACCUUAUUCUAAUAAAAUUUCUUGGUGAAUCUUAUUGUAUUAAAUGCUUCUAGUUUAGUCUUUGUUUCUUCAUAGUAAGAAUUGCUAACUUAAUUAAAUAACAAACAAAAAUUUUCUUGCUGGGUGUCAUAGGAAAAGAUUUUGAGGCUCCUAUUUUGUUUUUCAUGAUUUUGGUAUUGUUGAAAUUCUCAAGUUUGAAGCUUGCAAUGACAUGUCAUUUCCUCAUUUCAUCUGGCAGGAGCAUACAAAACCUUGUCACUGGUGAAGACAUUGAAGAUAAAAUGGGCUGUUUCAAGGUUUUGAAGAGUAAGAAGAAAAAGGCUGAGCGCACUGCUUACAUUAAAAGGAUCAAUCCUCAGGAGCUAACACCCACUACACUGCCUGAACCUAAACUUCAGAGCCGCACACUUCAAUCUGCACCCCCAAGUUUUAGAACCCUAGUUAAACCUGUUCAACCAGUUAAAAGAAUCAUUAACAGUAGAACACGAGCAUUGUCCGCCCCAUCAAGCCUCAAUACAACUGAACAAGAUGCGCUUGCAUCAAAUGAAUGUGAAGAACAAGAAGAGUUGAAGAGUCGUGUUGGAUUAACAAAGGAACAGCGAUCGCCAAACCCUCAGCCUCUUCCUCUCCCAUCACCUCAAGGCACUGUUGUACUGAAAGCUACAGGAAGUUUUAAAGCAGGGAAUGCGAGUGGCCCUCUCUAUGCUUCUGGCCCACUGCCAUUGCCUCCUUUAGGAGCACUCCGGAACUUUGGCUAUGAAGAAUUAUCAAACGCCUGCCUCAAUUUCUCUUCAGAUCGAUGUGUGUCGGAAGGACUUUCAUCCAUAAUUUACAAGGCUUCCUUUGGGGAUGAUGCUUCAGGUUCAAAAAAGCUGGAAGCCACUGUUACCCGGCUUCACCCAUCCACCCAGGUAUCACGACUUUCUGGUUUUUUAUUUGAAUGCAGGCCCUGGAUUGAUUAUUAUGUCAUGUCUUUAUUCCUAAACUUCCUGCAGUUCUCAAACUGUUGCAAAUUAUAUAUGAGCAUGCUAACAUGACUAAUGUAAUUGAACUUUGGUGCACCCCCUUUUAGGCAUCUCUUAGUAUACACUCUUAUUUGCUUAUCAAUAAAAAAGCAUGACUAAUGUAAUCGAGUAUAUGAGCUAUAUCUCAUUGAUGAAGCAACUUUUAUGUUUCAACAUUCUAAUGAUUUAGUUUUAGGGCAAAUGUUUAUAGAAGUUUGAAACCGAGAUAAAUUUUCACCUGCCUGUUUGUAUUUUUCAUUUUUAUCUCACUUUUCUUUCUUUAUUCCCCUCUAUAAUACAAAAUAUCGCUAACGCAAAUAGAUUGAUUUGAAGCAUAAGUCUUUUACAAUGUAUAAUAAAUUCUGCCAAUUUUGUAAUAUUUAACCAUGGCUUUAGAUUUGCUAGGAAUUUCUAUGAUUCUACUUUUUUAUUCUUUUUGAUUUUUUUUUUUCUUUUGAAAUGUUUUACAACCCUCAGUACACUGAGAUAUAACCCAUCCUGUUUGUGCUCAUCUAGGGUUUAAAGGAAUUCAUAAACGAGGUAAACACGCUUGCAUCAUUGCAACAUCCCCACCUCUGUAAGUUGCUUGGUUUCCAUGCGCGUGAGGGAUCUGACCAGAGGAUGUUGGUUUAUGAGAGGCUCUACCAUGGAAGCUUAGACCGUCUUCUAUAUGGGAGAUCGGAUGGGCCAUCCAUUGAUUGGAACACAAGAAUGAAAGUUGCUUUAUGUGCUGCACAGGGUCUCACUUUCUUGCAUGAAGAAGGGCCUUUCCAGGUAAGCUGAAAUCCUGUCUCUGUUCUUUUGAAGGAUUAAAAUUGAAAUAGAUGGUACAUGAUCCCCCACAUGGUCAACUAGUAACACUUCUCAGUUUAUGUUGCAUUUUUCUUUUUCUCUUUUUGGUAUAUUGCCCUUUCUUCGUUUGAUGGAAAUGCACAUGGGAGAUGAUAAAUUUCAAUAUGCCUUAUCAUGUUCUAUCAUUAUUUUGGCUUGAGCUUCUAUCCUUUUAGCUUGCUUGCCCAGAGUUGCAUUUUUUUUGGUAGUCAUAAUAAAAACUUUAAUUCUGUAUUUCAUGCUUGUCCAAUCCAUCAGUUCUGUAGAUUUGGUUGAAAUCCCAUCCAGUAGGUCCUACGUUGUGAAUGUUCCAGGACAGUAUGGCAAUUUUCAUGAUUGGUGUAAUAUUUAUUGAAUGUGACCUUUUGGUGGGAGAUUGCUUGAAAUGCAAAUAUUUCAAUUCCUGUUUUUCUGUUUCCCUCAGAUCACUGUCCCAAUUCUGUAUAUUAGGAUUUUUUUUUUCCAGUGGUUGUUGUUCUUGUUGUGUACUGAGAACUUCCCUGUGUGUUUACAGGCUAUGUACAAUGAAUUUUCAACUGCCAAUAUACAGAUUGACAAGGAUUUUAGUGCAAAGCUUUCGGGAUAUGGUUGCGUUGGCCACAUUCCAGAAGCAGAUGUUUGCAGUAGUUCAGUUGUAAGUGCUUUAACUCAUAUGAGGAUAAUUCUAUCAUUGUUUUGGUUUCCGACUGCGAGAUACUACUUUUCCCAUGCAUAGAGAUGGAAUAGUACAAUCAUGACAAAUAAGACACUUAUUAUUUCUGCAACUACUUCCAUCAAGUAAGACUAAAUCCUAAUACAACAAUGAAGUAUUUACUUCUCUGAAACUGUCAUAACAUGACAGCAUGGUGAUUUCUGGUCUUUUUUACACGAGUUCCUUUUGUUCUGGGUGCUUUUCUUUUCUCUGAUUUGUUUUUGAUCCUGGGGAAUUAAUUAUCUUUUGUGCCAUGUCCAUUUAUUCAGGCAGUAGCAAAUCUAUCAGUGGAGACAUUAGAGAGAGGAUUACUAACUCCCAAAAGCAAUGUUUGGAGUUUUGGAAUAGUUCUUCUUGAGCUACUCACUGGGCACAAGAACCUUGACAGCCGCCAUCCGAAGGAAGAGAGGAACUUAGUUAAGUGGAGCCGACCUUAUCUGGCCGAUGAUUGUCGACUCUCAUUGAUAAUGGAUCCUCACCUAAAAGGCCGCUUCCCUGCCAAAGCAGCCCGAACAGUGGCAGAUAUUGCCCAAAGAUGUCUUCAGAUGGACCCCUUAGAAAGACCCACCAUGAGAACCAUUGUGGAGCAUCUCAAAAUCAUUCAAGACAUGAAGUAUUCCUGCCGGUUUCCUCUGCAAGAGCCGGCAGCAGUUGCUGGAAAACAGAUGUCAAGAUCGCCUAGUCUCAAUGGGAUCAUUACCCCAGCGCCCAGGCUAAGUUUCUCCCCUUCUCCGCCAUCAAGAACCCACCUCUCCGUUUCUCCAACAAGACCGCCUGUAGUACCCGUGUCUCUUCCUCCCCGAGCCUGUUCCUCCACUCUCUCUUUGGAGGACCUUGAACGGCAGGAAAGCAGGAAAUCUUCAUCAUCAACAUCCACCUUUCGGAGGCCCAGUGUUGAAGGUUUUUGAUUGUCAAUAGUAUGCAAUUUUUUCAUUUUCAUUUUUUUUUUUGUUUUUUUCUUUCCCCUUUUGUGAUUCAACACAAUAUAUAGAAGAUAAAAAAAAUGUGGUUCUUCCACCUUUCCAUCCCUCAAGAAGAUGCAACAGAGGAGGAUGCUAUUUUGUAGAUAAAAAAGAAAAAAAAAGAAAAAAAAAGAAAAAAAAAAGUGUGAGCCUCUCUUCUUAUUGGGUUCAGUUAGUUUCCUCCUCUCCACAAUUUGAUUUUGCUUUUUCUCCUUCCCUCUGGCAAAUGUUGUUGUGAUGUCUUCAUUGAAAUGAAAAACUGAUUUGUUUGCAAUUUGGGUAGAAAAUAUUGGAAAGGUUCAGAGAAUCUGAAAUUGGUCAAAAUUUGGCUACUUGAACAAAUCAAAUUUCGGCUUGACAAUGACACCUCAUUAAUAAUAUACCAAUCCAAACUCUCUUCAUUUCUUCCAGAAAGGAAAGCUGGAGUUGCCUUUCCCAUCUAUUUUCCUCUAAAUUGAAAAGUCUUUAGAGAUAAUGUAUUGAAUGGCUCUUGAAAAAUAAUUACUAGUUGAUAUUUUCAACCAUUCUUCAAAAUUUGUCAGCAUUUAGAAAAGAUUGCACAUUAAUUUAGUUUGAAUUCAACAAAAUUUUCCUCCUUCCGCUUUCUUGGAUAUCUGGGUUUAUUCUUUAGAAUCUUUGCCAUCUUUUUCCACAAGAAAUCUUUUAAUUAAUUAAUUAAAAUCAGUCUUCCUCUGUAUUUCCGGGUCUUGAAACUAAGACCAGAUCAAGGGCAUUUCUUUUUCCUCCCCUUGACAUUAAUGUAAUUAAUUUAAAAUAUAGUGAUGCAUGUGAUAGCAUGUUAAAAAGGAUAAAAUAUUUUUUUUUCUAAAAUUAAAAAUAAUAUAAUGAAUUAAUUUACUUAUUUUUUUAGUUAAAAUGAUAUUAAAUCAGUGAGAGGUAAAUUAAUAAAUAAUAUUUUGUAUUUUUUUAUUUUUUUAUGUAAAUAUUAACAAACAUUUAUAAAAUUAUUGUAAAAAAGAUGUCUGAUUAAGUUUAAAUCUCAUAAUAUUGAAAUAAAAAUAUUUAAAAGAAUAAUAUUAAUAUUUUUUAAAGUUUUAAUUAAAUACAUCUUAUCACCAAUCUUUAAUUUGGAGUGUCCCAACUCCCAAGUGGUGAAAUCGAGAGAGAGAGAGUAUUUUUUAAGGUUUUAAUUAAAUACACCUGAUAAAUCCUUAACUUGGAGUGUCCCAACUCACAAGUGGUGAAAGUUGAUAGUCUGACAGUCCCAAGUGGUGAAAGUCGAUUACCCCAAAACAUGAUUGGCGUGCGUAGACGGUAGACGCUACACGUUACAGUCUGAGGGGAGUAGAAUCCAAUGUGGAUCCACAAGAAUGACUUUGUAGGGUUCAGUACUUGUGGGUGGCUGACAUCAAAGCAGUACUGUAGGUUUUGAACAUUGAGCCAAUUACCCAGGUAAAUAGUAAAUUAAAAACACCUUGUCAGAGUUGUAGUUGAAAAUGGAUGACUCGAAGGUUCAAUUAUGAUAUUUUCCAUUUUUAAAAUUAUUAACUCAAAUAAUCAAAUUCUAUCACAUCAUAAAGCAUUCAAAUUCAAAUUUUAUAGAUGGUCGAUCACAAAAGUCAAUGUAGUUUGAAAUUUUGUGUAUAAUUGAUGAUUAUUUAGUUACAAUACAUUUUUUUAGUUCAUAUUUAUUUUAAGACAAUUUUGAUGUAAGUAAGCAUAUUUGUUACGAUAAAACCCUUAAGGAUGUUGUCUUAGGGAUGUAAAAAAGGUGUAUCAUUUUCUUAUGGUUAGUAGAUUAUUUGAUGAUCAAGAGAUCAAGUAAUUUUUCCAUGUUGUUUAAUAUAAUUGGAUCAUUUACUUUUGCAUAGGUUCUUUUGUGCAAUUGGAAUAUUUAAUUUUACACAAGAUUAUAAUGCUCUCGCUAUAAAAUUAAUCCAAAGGGAUAAAACCAGAAAUUAGAAAUGAAGUAUUAGUUUAAAUCACCCCUCCCUUUAGGUAGUUUUAUCCUAUUAAUUCUUUCAAUCUCAAAGUAGCUUCAAAUUCACCAUAAAAUCAUAUCACAUAGCAACAGAAGACCUUUUUUGAGCAUAUGACCCCAUCACUUCUGUCGAAAAGGAUCCUGUAAGGGACCUUUGAACUAAACCAAGGCAGGGUGCUAUUUUCUAGGAUAAGUCAAGCUGAUAGGGGAAAUGGAUACUUCAAAUGGAGCAUAGAAAGAAAGAGGCAAUAAACGGAUACUGAAUUAGAAAAGAGAAUAAACUGUUGACCUAAACAUUAUGAAAAGCAAAUCCAAUUUCUUUGUUACAAAUGAUGAUUUCUGGCAUGUUAAGAGUCUAAAAUCCAUGCAUACAUCCUCUUUUAAGAAGAAAUAAUUUUCUAUGACGCAUAUUAUAUGACAAAUAAAAACCUCAAGCACCCUCUCCAACCAUUGGUACAAGCAAUACCAGGCCACAAGAGAAAAACGGAGAGAUAAGUAUGUAAUUUAUAGAGAAAGGAGUUGUUCUUACCAGGAGAGUGAAAAAGGUGGAAAGGGAAGAGGAGCUCACGAAUUAAGCAUCAUUUUUGCUUUGAUCUUGUCCAGAGUGCUCCUCAUCUCCCCCAUUCUCUCGCUCUGAAACUGCAGGAGCAGUAAUACAAUGAUCCUCAUUUAGUGGUCCUUCACUCUCUCCAGUAGCUUGUGGUGGUGGCACAUGUGAUCCUGAGCUGCCUUGUUGCUCGGCCAAGCUUUUGAGACCAUUCUGCUUCAGAUAUGUUUCCAAAGGAAGACUUGCCACUUGUAGAAGACUCAUCAUGCUCACUCGGUUUGAUCCCACUUGCAAGUCCUCCUCACGGUCAGGAUGGCAAUUCAAGUCUAUUUUUCCCUUGCCAGUUUCACUCAACUUGGUGGACAGAUUGUUGCUUUGGCUCCUAGAUUCUGACUCGUUUGCCAACCCAGCUUCACUCUCCGAAGGGUCAGGAUUUGGAGUGGCAAGUCUUGAGGUGCUGUCCACUUCUGCUUCAUCCUUAGCGCCCCAGAUAUUGUGAUUUAUCUGGGCAAUCUCUGCUUCACGCUCUGAUUGGCGCUUUUUUUUCCGCAUCAUUAGUGUUUUAAAACGACGUUUAACUGUCAUACAUACAUUGCAUGUGCAGGUGGGCUUGUGCUUGCCCUUCCCACUGGGGGGCUGGAUACACACAAUGCAUGAGCAGCCUGGGCGAUGCCUCGGGUGUUUGGUUGUGGUUGCAACUGAUGUAGCGGCUGGGUCGCUCAUGUCAUCUCCAAGGGCUGCAGCAUUGGCCAGAGCAUCUAGGCCGGAAGGUUCAUGCUCCUGUGCAGGCCUAUGAACUGCUGCAAUUCGACGUUUUCUGAAAUCUAUUAACCAGGAACAGAAGAAGUGUCACAAAUAUUUUUGGAUUCAAAGUAGACAAUACUCCACAGAGAGAGAAACGGACAUCAUUUCAUAAUAUGAAACACGUGUACACAUGCAUACACAAUGACUUCCCUAUUCCAACCCUGACACUAGUUGCCCAGACGUGUGCUUUCAUUCCAAAAUCAUGGUUUUAAAUUUUCAAAGAUUGAAAUUUAUUCAGUAAGUCCAAGUUUAAAACUCCAACCCCAAUGGGGAAAUACAUUAAUAAAAGAACAGUAGUGUGCAAACGUGACCCUUGGAAGGGUGUAUGUAUUAGUAGGCUUUUCAAGGAGACUACAAACCCCACUGUAUGGCAGCUUCAAGACAAAACCUGAUUGGGACAAACAUCUCCCCCGUUGGGUGUUCAAUGUAUCUGAUGUAAUGUCAUGCACCCAUUAAUAAAGGUGCUAUUAUUCAUUAAAAUUUUAACUACCAGUUGCAACUCUUCAAGACCAUACUGGGUUCUGUGGCCAAUAGCAUUAUAUCAGUAAUGUCUCCACAAUCCUCCCUGGCCACCCCCACCGACAAAUUUAUGAAAUACCCUCAUGCAAAAUACAAAUAUUAUAUAUAAAAGGAAACCAUUUCUCAAAGAAUGUUUCAGGCUGCAGCAAUUAUUUAUUUAGAUAAAAUACAAGUACAGAUGCUGGCAUCAUACCCUUAUAUUGUCUGAGAAUAUGUUCGAGUUCCCUAGGGCUCAACUCAUCUGGGGCAGAACAUGAACACCUGGAUUACAAUAACAGAAGGUCAAGGAUUUAAAGUUUCUCUAGUGGAAAAACACUUGCAUGGAAACACUUAUAACUGACCUGCUUUGAUCCCACAAAUUUUCAGCACACGUCCACUGACAUGGAACAAGAUAAUCAUGGGGCACCUUUCGCCAUUUAGAGCAACUAUCACACUGAACCCAUUGCUCCUCUCCCCUGGAUGAUCAAGCUUAGCAAAUUAGAUGGAUUCACCUAACAGAAGUCUCAAGACAGAAAUCUAGGUAUCAAAAUAGCAGACACAGAAUUUCUCAGGAUAAAAAGUGACUCCUCUUCCAUGUGAGGUACACGUGGCACCAUAAUAAAUGGGCACUAAUUGGUGCCAAAUUGUGUCUUGAUCCAGGGUUCAGACAACUGGAUAAAUUUUUUACUUAAGAACCUGGUAUUAUGUAUCAGUAGAUCCCUAUCACUGGAUGAAUGCUGCAUAAAAACAUAAGAUCAUGACAAGUUUGACACAUUUUACUUAGGAAAACAAAUUUUUGGAACUGCAUCAUUAGAAUUGGAGAUCCUUGGCAUCCAAGGAGGAAGGAGAACUUGGUGGUAGGGAUGGAGGUAGUAUUGCUGAAGGACCUUGGAAGAGUUCAUUUUCGGAGGCAGAAGUAAAACUUGUACAAAUUAAUCAAGACACUCUUUCUCCUAGAUGGGAAGUUAAAUCUAGUGAUCUCACAAGUACUGAUUUCAUAUUUUUUCUUCUUUUGAUUUCUUAGGCUUGGGGCCACCCAGUAAUUGUCACUAGACAAAACAUGGGAAAUGGAAGCAGAAAGGGCAAUUCAAAAAGAAAGAAAACAUGACAUUAGGAAAAUAAAGCAUUAAAGAAGUUUGUAAAUGAAAAAUAAAGGUGCUGAGAGUAGGUAACACUCAUGAAACCUAUUUUCCAGAUGUUUUAGCAACAUUUCCCAUGGGAAACAAAGGUUGAACAUUUUCAAAGAUGGAAAGCACUUAUGAGAAAUAAGUUACCUUAAAAUUUUUUAAACAAGUUUCCCACCAGCUUUAGAAAUGGGUUUCUGGGAAACUGAGUAGAGUUUCCAUCAUGGGGAAAGUAUUUGUAAUUAUGAUCCAGAUAGCUUCACUUUGCAUGUGGGGUUCAGUCAUUGGUGUUCAAAAAUGCUACUUCACAUGCAAAAAUGUAUUAGAAUAAGUUACCAGAAAUCCUUACCCAGAUGGGAGGGUUGUGAAAAUACUCCUCUUUCCAAAAACAGGGGGUUCCUGUAUGACAAAUAAAUAACAUGAUAAGUAAUUAUUAGUAACCUAUAUAUAUAUGUAUGUAUGAAAAAGAAACAGCAAUCACAUAGCUUGUAUGAACAAACAAGGUAGUAUUUAUGUUUAAGACUGAAACAAGGAGCCUCAGCAAAUAAUUUGUACUUUUUUCUUUUUAUUUUUGGCAAACUGCCGUUGUCAAAAUAAAGUCUGUAAGUGGCAUUUGGAUGCUUUACGAGUGUGAGCUAGCAGCAAGACAAUUUAUAAAAGCUAAUUGCAUUACUAUUUUGAGAAUUGUGGAAAGUUUGCUUACAGUGUAUGCCUCAAAUUCGUAGUCCUCAAUCACGUCAAUGACUGGCUUGACACUUGGGGGUGGGCGGAGCAAAGACUGUGCCUCUUCCCAUGUAAGCCUCAGCUCCAGAGCAUCUUGGCCAUCGAUUAGCAAUCUCUUACUUUUAGACCCAAUUGUUCGAGUUCUCUUCUUCUCUGGUACCAGCAUUGAUGGAAGCAGCAAGCCCUCUCUUGUCUUGCCUCCAUGCUUCUCUGUUUUAUGCCAGCCAAUAUCCCCACUAGCUGAAUUCAAAUGUUUUGACAAUGCAUUUAGAUGGGGAUCUGUGCUUCCCUUCAGCGACUGAAGAAUGCCAGAGUAACCACUUAUUAUAGGUUGGUUCUCAAUAACACCCGAAAAGAAAGUUUCACUUGAAUGAGCGCCAUUAGGAAUGGCAGAUAGUUGGGUGUCCUGUUUAGUUAAUAAUUUAUAUAUUAAUAUUAUAUGAUCCAGGUUUGCUAACAUGAAAACUCACUUUGUUUUCCAAGUGUGUGGAUGCAAAUAUAAGAGUUAGUUACAUCAAUGAAGUUGACUACCUGCAUGGAAACGGAGUUAGAUGCUUUCCGGAACCCCAUAACAAGUUUUCCUUCUGGAUCCAUACGGCUGAAUGUUACUGCAGCAAAAAUAUUAAAUGGAUAAAAAUGGAAUACCAAAUGUAUCUUAGCUUCUGGAAAAGAAAAAAGGAAACAGAAAAGGAAGAAAGAAAAACGAAGGGGGAAAAAGGAAAAACCACACCAUAUAUAGGAAGUGACAAAGACAGAAGAUCAUCAGGCAUAAGACAGUCAUUGAUAAUGUUAGAGCAAGUAAUUUGAUAACAUUCUCUAAAAAAUUAUCAAAUAGAAAUUUCUGUCAGAGAAUGGAAUGACAGGAUGUGACAGCAUAAUCAUUAUUGUGAGAAUCCUAAUUAAAGUCUCAUAGUUAGGACCCAAAACACAACAAAACAAAAAAAUUAAUAAGGUCUUGUUUGAAAUGGUUUCUUCAAAGCUAAAAGCUCUUUUUUAAGCUCAAUAGAGCUUCUCUAGAUGUGUUUGGAUAAUUUUAAUAAAACUUCAAAAAGCUAAUUGCCUUAAAAGAAAAAAUGAAAAAAAAAGUUCAACAGGAAAGUUAGGACAAUAUUGUUUACUGUGGAAGCCCUCUUUUUGGCUUAUUGCAGGAAAUUGUUUCAUGUUUAAUGAAACUUUUGUAGUACCAAGAUUGUCCCUCUAAAAUUAUAGACUUAGCUUCAACUUCUACCAAAAGCCAAAACGAUAUCCCAAACAAGGCCUAAGAGAAGAGUAAAGAUUAAUACAAACUAAAAUAUGCUUAGAAAUUUAGUGCCUCUGGCAUUCUUCAAGUAGAGAAAAUAGCUGAGACAUGUUUAUAUCAUGACAGUUGAAAAUUUUUCCUCUUGUAUAGCAAUACAAAUCAAAAGAAUGACGAAUGACUUCACAACCAUUAGUUUUUGUUGAUUAUUAAAUAUGCUAAAAUUGUUGUGGCAUGCCUACAUAAAAUACGAAGCAGGCAAUAGAAGUUACCAGUAUCUCCAGCUUGUAACUGCAUUGACUGUAUGCAUGGGGUCACACCCUCUAAAACAUACAUCCUGCUGUUAUUAUUGGGCCAAAACCUGAAUUGGAACACCCAUUCUUUCCCCUUCACAUCCUGAAUCCUUAAAGGAAGGCCCUCUGGUUGAGAGAUAGGAGGAAAAUAUGCCUGCAAAAUGGUUUAGUUUCAAUUGAUAUACAGAUAAGGUUCAACAAAAAUAAGCUUAACAGUUAAAUUUGGGAAGAACGAAAAAAAAUGAAAAAUGCAAAAGACAACCAAUAAAUAUUAUUUUGUCAAAUGAAAGCCAGACUAAGCACACAAUGGAAAGCUUACUUCAGCACAUGCUUUUGGGAGCACUAAACGACCAAUACGACCAGCAUCACUGGCACUUAGCAUCUUUUCAAAUAAUGGUACGAUGGUGGAAUUUGAGCUUCAAGAAAGCAUGAUUAAAGAAAUCGCUGAUCGAGUUGGUGAAUAAGCAUGAAAAUUAAAAAAAAAUUAACAGCGAAGCAAUCUAUGAACUUCAAAAUAAAAAUGACAUAGUCAAGGAUACUCUCCAGAUAUUUGCUGCAAUUCCUGGUCUGUGAUCCUCGGCCAAUAACGAGGAAGCAACUGAUUCCGACCCCGUCCCUCUGCAGGUGGCCUUGCAACACGUAUUUGUGGAACUAUACCUGUAUUUGUUUCCAAAACAGGAGAAAGUGCUGACCUUGGGGGCUUGGGCAAAAGAUGGCGAGACCUAGGCCCCUGUUGGAUGGGAGUGGAUGUUUUGUGUUGUUCCCUUUCUUCAACGACUGCACUAGGAAACACAUUUGGAUUUCCUGAAGGAGCACCCAAGGUGAUACUCAAAUUUGUCUGAACCAGAGACUCAUGUAUAUCUUUGACCAUCAUGUUUGCUUUACAAAUAUCUAGUUUGGCAUGUAUGGAAGAUCCGAUGGAUGCUUGAUUUAAAUUUGACAAACAUGUACUACCAGUUUCUCCCUGAGGUGGCAAAACUUCCUCCUGUUUCAUUUGGCCAAGAGACCCAUUUAUGUUGUCAUUUCCAGAUUGAAGAAAGUUUUUCAGUCCAUCACCCGAUGUAUCAUUCCCCAACUGUGUAAGCUUCAUCUUCUCAACACUACCACCAUCUAAUUGAUUGUCCACAGAAGUGCAACGAAUUUCACCCACAUUAUCCACUGUCAUUGCACCACUUUCAUUAGCCUUUUCAUCACCUGUCAUCUGUAUGACAAUUUAGAAGUAUCAUAAAUCCCUGAAGGUUGAAAGGAAGUGAUUAAAUUGUAAUAUUCAAUCACUUUCAAGUGAUUAAAAAAAUCUGAUGUAUGCUGCAAAGAACAAACUGAAAUGCACACCUUAUCAAAUACCAUCAUAAACAUCAGAUAAGAAAGUUGUCUGAAAUUAGAGGUAAAUUCUUACUCUUUUCUUACUAAUCCUUUUGUCACCUUCAUUAAUUGAAAGAUACAUAAAUCUACAACACCAGAUCAUCUUAAACCAUAAUUGGAAAUUGGAACUUGUUAAUAAACCAUUUGUUAUUUGUUUCAUUAAUUGGGAAGUGUUUAUAUAGUUGAACGAAACAGAUGAUAAAGAAUCAUACAAACUAAUCAACGAAUUGAUUUUGGCAGUUUGUAACUGAUAUGAUAGUAGGAUGGAACUACAGAAUUAUUAAAUGCAUCCAACCAAAAAUUAUAAAGGAGUAUGUUUGUGUAACUUUUCCAAAAGAAGUCAUAGACAUGUAAAUGAGUUGAUCUUACAGGGUGAGGUCCUGAACUUCUUAUGCAGUUAAUACAAUUUACGCCACCACUAUCAAGUAGCUCAAGCAGAGACCUGGAAGCAAUGCAUCCACAAUGGAGACGCUGGAAACACCAAUUGAAUCAUACUUUUCAACAAUAGCAUGAGUUGAAGAAAAAAAGUGAUGUGAGUUGGGAAGAAGGAACAAGAUACGAGUUACUGGACUACCAACUGACCUUGCCACAUGCAGUACAUUUCCUCCAACCAGAGUCCUUUGAGUGAAACAUGUCACAGAAAACUAGUUGCUCAAAAGCAGACCUGGAGAGAAUUCAGUUGCAAAUAGAAAGUAUCAUCUAAUAAGUCAUAUGGAGAAACCUAAUGUUUUCUUUUCCCAAUAAAUAUAGAUAAAAAAUUGCAGCUCAUCAUGUAAAAUUGUCAUAAAAUGGUGACUAUUAAGUCCCAGCAGUCAGGUUCCAGUCACAUACCUAGUUUCUCAAAAACAAUAAAUGCCAAAUAUUAUUAUUCAUAGGGCAAAAAGAUAAUUGUAAAUAAAAUUGUGUAGUAUUUCUAAAAAACAAGGGAAAGAAAACCAACCAUUAAAGGUCAAGUUCAAGCCAUAAAUUGCUAUGCACUCUAGGCAUCUCCAUGUUUCCACCUUCUAAGGUUCUCAGCAUUUAGAUAGUCGUAUCUAGGCCAAACAAGCUGGUGGAUCAAAAGUUCCUAGUCAUUUAGAAGAAAUUGUUGUCUUCAUGGGUGUCAGCCCAUCAUCAUUAGUGAGGUUUCACCGUUUAACCAGAAAUUGUUAAAUCAUCCAAAUCCAGACAUAAUUAGGAUGAUCCAGUACCAAAAUUUUUUCAGCCUCUUACAAAUCUCAAUGCAUCUUUAAAACAUAUUUAGGAUGUAGGAUGGACCAGAAACAAAUUGCAUGUGGAUACUCAAACCAAAUGAUAAAAUAUCCUUAUUUUUAUUUGCAUGUAAUAUGGAACACAUAAUAUGAUAAAAUUAAAUUUAAAAAUUUUACAUAGGGAGAAAUUAGAUUCAAAAUUUUGCUUCAUCACUGUAUGAGGGUAAAUUGUUCUGUCAUUCACAGAUUGCAAUGACUUGAUUAGUUUACUUACGGACAAGACAAAGAUGAUGAGAUGUGAAAGGCAAUGCAGAUAGCAAGUCAAAUCACAUGCCCUUAAUUUCUUACAAAUAGAAUCCUGCCAAUAGUCAUUUAAAAGCAAACAAUAGGAAGACAAAUAUUUAUUCAACCAAAUAUGGCAUGUAUUUCAAAAAGAAUAAUAAGCUCUUAAAUAAUUUGUAUUUAAUUUUAUCGGGAUAGAUUAAACUAAGGUAACUUAUCAAAUAUAUUUAUCCCCACAAAAGAUACAUCAAGGGAUAAUCAUUAAUGAAGAUGUUUAUCAAGAAACUCUAUUAUCAACCUCUAUUGAUAGCCUAAGCUCAAAAGUGUCAUCAGCACAACUUGGAAGAGAGAUAAUUGAAGCUUCAUCCCUGAAGAACUUUCUUCAAUCCAAUGGACUAACAAUCCCAAAGCUCUACAAGAUUUUGUCACUCAAACCUAUGCUCAUCAUUUACGCCCACAAACUACAAGCCAAUGAGCAUAGUAAAGCUCUUUUAAAUUAUAGAUAUAAAGCUAUACAAACAUCAUUCCUUCAGCAUUUAAGAUCUCAAAGGCUACAUUCAUGGUGAAGCUUUAUUCUUCUCUUAUAUGCUGUAAGCCUCUGCAACUGUGUCAACACAUCCCAACCUUCUGCAGCUGAAUUCACUUUGUCUGGGAACCAGCUCUUCGAGUCUUUGACUGAAGCAACUUUGAGAAAAAGAAUCAGAGGAUAUUUUCUUUAUUGAAGAAUUUUCAGAGUUUGCAUUUCAAUUUUCUUAAACUAAUAAAUCUGAGAUGGUCAACACUUUUCUCAUUUUUUUUUCAGGUUUAAGAUUUGUGUUCACAAAUUUCUAGAAAACCCAGCUAAAUAAUCUCCACCUAAUUCCUAUUUUCAAGUGAAUAAGUUGUGAUCAUGUGACUAGCAACAACAGCAAAUGAAAUAUUAACAUGCACACUUAAUGUGACAUUAGGGUAAAGGACGUGCACCAAUUUUCUUUAAAAAUAGCUACUUUAAAAUUUGUCUUGGGCUUGUGAAUUUAAAAAACACCUGGACAAUUAUCCUUGGUGGAGGUGAAGAAUAGUACCAUUGUUGUGGCAAAGAAGCUAUUGGCUCACUUGCUAAAUCACAAAAUUCAAGUUUGGGUUCUACACUAAGUCAGCAUGGGACAUGGAUUACACCAAUUAUCAAGUCUACAAAUUAUAUUUUUCAUGCCACUCAUGGUGAUUGAAGCAACUUUAAGUGGUUUAAGGCUUUAAGCAAUGAAACAAAUUGGAAGAAUAGUCGAUGCUAUCAAAGAGCAUUCACAACAUAAUCAAGAGCAAGAUGCUCACAGAAAUAAAACUUCAACACAAGCUUGGUUGAUGAUAGCAUGUUGCUAAGAUCCUUCUUGAUUCACACCAUAAGAUACUUCAAAAACCUUCUUUAAAAGAAAAGGUAUUGCUACAAAUCAGCUAAAACAUUUUAUCCUAGAAAAUUUUGUUGCAAAUCAGCUGAAGGAUUUUACCUUGGAGAAAACUCCUAAAACAUGUGACAAUGAAUCUCAAUCCCCUCUCCCACAAACCAAAGUUUUAAAAGAUGCAAGGCACACUUAUGACAUAAAGGCAACCCAACACACAUGUCUAAGUGAAAAUCGGGUGCACUCCAAGUCUAUGUGUAAUUUUAUAUCAUGUAACAAAUAUUAACGCGCAAACAUUUAUAAUAUUUUCAUAUAUCAUUAAAUAGUACUAAAAAUUUCAAUUCAAGCAAUUAAAGACAUCAAAAUUUCACACAUUUUACAUAAAAUCCAACAAAAAUAAUGCUAAAAAAAUCAGUUAUCAUUUAUUUGUGUACUAUACAUAAAAUCACAAAAUAAAUAAAUAAAUAGAUAAAAAUAAUUCAAUUAGUACUAAAAAAAGCAAAUAAAUUUGUGAACUACAUAUAUAUACUGAGCGCCGCAUCAAUGGAUAAUCGUCCUUUAUUAAGAAAUAAUUAUCACUUAUAAGUAGAUAACUGACAAACAAAAACCAUAAAGCUAUUAUAGUUAAUGAUUCGCAAAAUGGCUAAUAAAUCAAAGAAAAUAAAAAUGCCUAAAAUAUUGGGAUCAUAGGAGUUGUGCGUGUUAUGGACAACCUACACAUACAUUUUUCCUUUUCUUCUUCUUCUUCUUCUUCUUCUCCUCUUUUACUCUUCUUCUUUUCAAUCUCUUUCUUGGAAUCAAGCCUUCAAAUCUUCUUUUUUCAAAUGGUAGGGUGAAAAGGUAUUGUUUUGUCUGUUGUUUUAAAAAUACUUAGGCUCAAAAUGACCUUUUUUUUUUCUUUUCUUACUAUGGUAGAAAAAAAAAAUAACUGCAAUUAGGUGCACUUUUUAUUGGCCUUGUGCCUUGCUCUAAGGGUGUGCCUUUUACACCUAAGUUGUGCCUUGUUGAAUGCACCUCUCCUUGUUCUAAACGAGAUGCUAGAGGAGCCAUGUCAUGUCACCUUACCACUGAGAGCAUCUUCGAAAACCAUGCCAUACACACCAAGAAGAGUUGAUAAGGACACCAAUCAGCUACCAAUCAUUAAAAUUUCAACAUUUUGAUAGGACAAGGAAAUCCAAGGCAACACAAGGGUCAAUUUAUGGGGACAUGCAACAAUCUCAAUCUUUUUCCGUUUUUUUUUUUUUUUAAGGCAAAUUUUUGUCCCCAUAAGGGACUUGAACCUGGAACUUGUGUUUAACUCUUCAUUCAUGUACAAGAUCCCUAAUAAUUCAUUGAAACUAGCUUCACUCACAUAACCAUCAUUUUACAUAUGAAGCGGUAAACCCUAUAGCAAAUCCUAAGAGAUCACCCAUUUUAUUUUUUAUUUUUUAUUUAUAAUGAGGAAUGCACCCUGCCAAUAAGGCAUUUAUCCCAACUGUUGAUAAAGCAAACCCUGGAUAACAUAGGUCCACUUCUUUAUCCUACACACUUAAAUUGAAGGAAAGCAUGAAGCAAACCUAGAUGAAAUGGGUCUAACUCCCCUACACCACUUAAAUACAAGGGAGGCUUAAACUAGAUUAAGAAAGAUCAGCCCAUUUUAGAUUUGUUCUCAUAGGUGAUAGAUUAUGAAGUAGUUAUUAAAUUUAAUUUAUUGCUUUUUAAAGUAAUAAUACAUGUAUGGCAUGCCCUAAAAUGAGACUACCUCAAAUAAAUUCCAAAUAAUGUGUGAAUAAAUUAUAAUAAUAUUACACAAAAACUAUCAGCAAAUAUUAAGAAAAAUAUCAUUGUCUUCAAGACCCUAGUUUUUGCGUUUUUCUUUUGUAGGUAAAUUAUAUACAAAUACAAAUAUAGUAGGAAAAUCAUUUAAUAAACAAGGUUGUAAUAGUAUAUAAAAUGUAUGCAAGGCGCACCAAGGCCAAAAGAAAAGAAAAUAUAAAAGGAAAUUGACCCACCUAAGACAACCCCAGAUUACCAAUUAAGUUCAAAAAGGAAAAAUUAGCAUCUUCCACUCAACAUUGGGCUGACUAAAAGAGACACUUAACAAAUCAGUUUAUUGCAACGAAGUCCAGAUGUUCUACUUUUUCAAAUAUUAUAUUUUUACAUAACUCAUAAUUAUUUUUUUUAAAUCUAGGUUUUGCAACCAAGUUCAACACGUUUUCCAACAACAUUAAGUUCCCAGUGAUGUUUCCAUACUAUUUAAGUUUUCAUAGUCCACAAUAAGCAUCUAAAACAUAAUUUAGUUCAAAUGGAAAUUUAACUUUAUUACAAAACAAAAUUCAAUUGAGAACAUUAACGUUUAGGUUUAUUCUAGGUGAAAGGCCUAGCCAUGCCCAUUGACAGCUAGGGUCAGGGGCCGAUUAGGCUCAAAAAGUAGUCUCAAGCCCAAUCAGAAACUGUAUGGGCCGAGCCUGAACUCAAGAUAAAUGCCUAUGAUCCAUUGGGCAAGCCUAAAUGAGUCCACAAUUGCCUUAACAACAAAAAUAUUGUCAUGACUGUUAGUGAUUGCCAGUCAUGGCUAAAUUUUAACUACCAUGGGCAACUACUGUUCAGAAAAGGCACUGUUAUCUUCAAUCUUAAUAUAAAUUAAGCAUAUGAUGACAUUAAAAAGGUCAUUUUAUCCUGAGCAUCAUACUGCAACUUUCUUUUCCAUUUCUCUCUUCGAAUCACUAACUUGACCAUUGGAGAAGGUGUUCUAUAACCAUCCCGAACAUUUUUUGUUUGCAUGUUGUUGGAUUCAGGCUGCUCACUCCAUUGAGGUUAAUCUACAUGAAAGUUGUUGAUGUUAGCUGAUUGUGGAAAUUGACAGCUUGACUGAUUGUGAUUGACUAAAAUAUAAAACUUAUACAAGCUGUAAAUUAAGGUUAUAAAUCAGUGAUAAAAUUAGGAUUAUAAAUUAAGGAUUCCUAGCUUGUUUGUAUAGUUGACUAAUAGUGACUACAUUCAAUGUAUUCUUGGAUUAUUUUCCUUUAUUGUUUUACCUGUAACCUUAUAUAUAUUAAUUGUAAAUUCCUCCAUUAAUACAAGAAUGCAAUUCCAUGAUUGUUUACAUGGUAUCCAGCAAAGUACUAUUAAAAUUGCUUCUCGUUUCUUUGGCCUAUAUUGGUGAAGCCAAGUGCAUUCUUCUUUGCUACAGCUUUAACAUUUCGUGGCCUUCAUUGCUGAAAUCGACAUAGAGAAAUACAAUCUUCAUUGUUGGUUCUCCCACAUUCUCUCUGCUUUUAUUCUCUUUCUCAAUAUGUCUGAAAUAUCUAGUAAUGUCCAAAUCUCUUCCUCCAUAAAAAAUUUCGAUCAAGUUGUAAUCCACUCUUCCUCUAGUGAAUACCAAAAUCUCCAAGCGUCAUUUAGGCUUAAUAGCCGGAGUUAUCUGGUUUGGUCUCCACAUGUGAAGGCAUCCCUUGAACGAAAGGGGAACCAAACAAUUUAGUUAGAUCGGUACCAAGCUCAAAAGACCCACAGUUUGUACCGACAAAACCCACCCCAUUGCCAUCCCUCUCUAUGGUGAUCUAUUGAUUUAUCAUCUAUUGUUAGAUAUAAAGAGUAGAUCAUUAAUUUUGCAAACUUAUCUAUUAAUCUAUUUAUUGAACAUAAGAAUAAGGAUGCAACAUAAAAUGGUUCCUUGUGGUGCAGGAAUAAAUAAUCCCAAAAUGUUGAAAGUGUUGCCAAAAUUCAAGAGUAAGGUUUCUUUUUUAUCACCUUAUUUUCCCUAUUGUCAAGUUCGUUUAGAAGCAACGGAAAUCAUUUGUCCCAUAUUGAUUCACAAACAAAUGCUUUGAGAUUAUUUGUUAAGGAUCAAUGAUGAAUUUUUAUACGAUGUAAGUAGUAUCAUGCAAACACUACACUGAAAUAAGAACAACAAAAAUUUAAGGUGACCUACUUAAGAACAAUUUAACCUUUUUGAGGGUUUUCUUUUUUUUCUUUUCUUGCAAACAAGAAGUACAACUGAAAUUUCCUUUCUUGCAAACAAGAAGCAUACAACUGAAAUCCCAAUAUAUAACUAAAACACCAUAGGGUAAGGAUGGGCAUUGUUCUCUUGAACAAAAAGCACAAGCAAUCCUCCAAGAAAGAAAAUCCUCUAGGAUCAUAGUAAAUAAAUCUGUGUUAACAAUGCUUCCUAGACGUUUAUUGGAAAAUAAACAUCCACAAGUACCAAAUACAACUGAAAUCCCAAUAUACAACUAAAACACCAUCGAACAAGGACUACUAUAACACCAAAAAAUAAAAUAAAUAAAAUAACGGAAGAAAGCUCAUGGAGGUAAAAACUCCUAAAAAAACACCUUGAAAAGAGAAGCACUACACUUUGCUGACCAGUCUGUUGGUUGGCCAAGUGAAGGAUCCACCAAACUAGAUUUGGAGAUGGAAAAUUUUAGGUAAUUAGUCAUCUCACUUUUGAGGGUCUCAUAAGACACCAAGAAGAUAACUAAACCAAGUCACCUCCCACUAGGAAGUGAUUAAAACCUAUAGGAAAAGCUAAGGUGAAAUCUUUAAGUAAUGCCAACUCCAUAGCCAAUCUCUCCUCAAUGGGCUUAGAAAAAGAUUUACCCACCUCUCCUUAAUGAUCCUGGAAGACUCUGCCAAUACCCAUUUACCUUGGGUUUCCCAAAAUGACUCUAAGGGUUCUUUUAUUUGCCUUUUACAUCACUUUUCAAUCUAACAACAAGUUCAAUCAAGACCAAGGGAAGGCAAUAGAAAUUUGAGGCAACUAACUUGGGGAUAAGUCAAUCAAUUUCUUUUCUCACUUUUUCAAUGUGCAACACUAACCAAGAGAAAGGUGAUGUCACUAGAAAUUUGAAGUUACCAACUUGGAAAUAAAUUAACCAACAGAGGUGUGGCUGAUAGGAAUUUGAGGCAAUCAAUUUGCAUAUUCUUAUGAAGUUUUAUUUCUUUUGCUCUUACACUACUCUAUUUCUUUCCUAUUUCUUUGCCACGUCAAAAUAUAUGAAUUUCAUCUCCUCUUAGACCAAUCUUAAAAAGAGUAUAGGAACCUUUACUUAUUAAUUGACUCCUUUCCAUUGUAUACCUUCUGCCACGUCUAAAUACCCUCUUCUCUUACAAAAAAGGUCAACUGAGACCAUGGCAAGGCUACAAGAAACUUAAAGGAGACUAAGUUGGAAACAUUUUUUGUUCCUUCAAAAUAUUUGUCACUUCCCUCUUUUGUUACCUCUAAUGUCCUCUUCUGUGAAAUUGAUCCAGAAUCAAGUUAACCAAAGCCGAGCAAGGCUUAUAGAAACUUGAGGAUUUGAAUCCAGGAAUGAGUUGAUCAAGACUGAGGCUAAGCUAAUAGAAAUUUUGUGGUUACUGAGGCCAGAAAAUUCCUAAGAACGAACAUUUCUUAUUCCUAUGCUGCAUCAGAACGCCUCUACUUCACUCUAUUCCUUUGCUGCUUAUUUCCUUUUCCACUAUGACUCAGAAUAUAGAAUAUCCCCCUCUUCUUUCAAUUUCUUUUCAUCCUUUUCUUUUCUCUGUUUUUUGCGGCUUCCCUCCUCUUCUGCUACUUCAGAAUAUUCUUUUAUCCAUUCUGUUUGGUUGCUGCAUUUCUUUUUAGCUACAUAGGGAAUAUCUUCUUCGUCUUCUCUGCUCAAUUUCUUUGUUGCUUAUUUUUUCUCUUCGGCGACUCCUUAUACACAGCCACAAAAUUAUACCAAGAAAAUCACCAAAAAUGCAACAGAAUACAGAGCAUCCUCUUCCUCUGCUAAGAAUAAAAAAAUAAAAAAUCUUCCCCUUGUCUAUUUGGCGAAAUCCUUCCUCUCUGCUACUCUCCAUCUAUAAACAGCCAUAUAAUUGUACUAUCAGAAACACAUACAAUAAGAAAAUAACUUCUUCCUCUUCUUGGUUCAUUUCUUUGCUGCUUCCCUACUGUUCUUCACCAACAUUCAUUCAGAGCUAUUCUUUGGGUUGUUGUAUUGAGUGUACAUCUAAUACAGUUGGUUGUAUUAUAUCCUGGAAACAGGACAUUGUUAACGCAUGACACCAAGCCAUUGUCUCAGAGAAACAGAGUUCAGACACAUCAACUGAUAAGUCCACCUCAAUUCCAUUAUUUAAUUACUGAAGUUCAUAUUCUUUGUAGCAUCUGAGCUCUAAGUUUAUACUCCGGUCACAUGAGCUACAGAAAAAAGAAAAUAAGAAAAUAGACAGAGCACAGAACACCAUCUGUUCCCUCCUCUCUGCUAAAUUUCUUUGCUACUUAUGGUUCACCAACAUCACUAUAGCUGCUCUUCAGACCCAGAGUCAUUUCUGUAUUCUGGGAAUUGUACUGGGCCCUAUCACCUGUUAUUCUUGACCAUAUCUUAAAGAAACAGAUCACACAGCUCAAUUGAUUAGUCCAUUUAAUUUUCAUAGUUCGCUUCGGCUUAUUUUCGUGAUAUCCAAGUUAUUAGUUCUUCACUACACUAAAAAGAUACCCAAUAUGCCAUUAAUUGCAAUCAACAAACAUGCUAAGAAAAAGCAAGCUGACAAACUCAAAACAGAAAAGGAAACAAACGUAGCAAAACAAAACACCCAGUAAUUAAACCUCCAAUAAACCCAUAAAUCCCAUAAGUAGUCCACCAAAAGUCCACAUGUACUAAAUUAAAACCUCCAUUAAACCCAUAUAUCCAGUACACAGUCCAUAAGUAUUUAGUGCAUUAAAUUAGCAAAUAACAACAAGGAAGAAGAGAUCCAUCUGGAUUACCCGCACUUAUCGCAGAGAAUGGCGAAAUCACCAGAUCGCAAAGCCCAACCUUUUCUCCACUCGAUCGUCGACCCCGACGACGCCCCGGGGCACGACACGUUCGCGCAAGUUUUCGAUGCCAUUCAUAAACUCAAUAACGCCUGCAAAACUCACAAAAACAAAAUCCAAUCAAACAAACAAAAACCCUAACUCACCAACCCGGCUCCCCGAAUUCAAUCAACACCACAACCGAACGACAAAAUUGAUCAACCCAGACAAAACAACACGAACACGAAAAACCGUAGAAGCGAAGCUAACCCCACAGCUAUAUCCCGAACCACUCCCUCCGUCUGUAAAUCAGAGCACGAACACGCCACUACAAACUUUCACUCCAUCUUCCGAGUCCUCGAACUCCCGAGAUUUGAUCGAAGAAUGGCGGCGGGGCAGAAAUCCUCGGAUCAGCAAGGCGUCGAACACCGCCGGCCACCGGCGAGUCCAAUCGGCGAUCGAGUUUUGGGAAGAAGCGUGUGCAUGCAAAGCCUCAGAGAGAAAUAUAAAUAUAUGGAGAAAUGGAGAGAGAAAGAGCGAUGUAGAGAGAGAAAGUGAAAGAUGCAAAAAUGCAUGCACGACACUUCAAGACUCGGCGAACUCUCCCCACUUACCCCCCACUGUUUAUCUUUUUAUUUUUCAUUUUAAAUUUUAAAACCUCUCCAAAAAAUGGAAAAUUACCCCAAAAAAAUACUCCCCACUCUCACACCUUCUCAUAUCUAAUCACUCGCGCUUUGAUUCGAGGUCUUCUGAGUUUAAUAACGAGAAUGAGUCCAACUGCCAUCCGGGGUGGCGAGUGACGUACUGGCGAGUGCGGAGAGCGUGAGGAAGAUACCCAUUUUUUCAGGUUUUGAAAUAAUUUUCGAAUUAGGGCGUCAGGACACCACCGAAAAAUGCGCCACUAGCCGGUUUUUAAUCCAAUAGCAUAUUUCGCAUGCAAUGGAGUCGGGCGUUGAAUUACGGAAAUACCCCCCGAAAUACGUGGAUUUGACGGCCGAGCCUUCGUGGAUACGGCGGUGUUGGUGUUCCAAUGGUGCAGACUGGAGAGUACGCUUACCCGGGUCCUCCACUUCAACGGUCUCAUGAGUAAACGCGUGACCGCCGUGGGUUUGUUCUUCUUUUAGGAGUCAACGCCAGGGUGCUACAUCCGACGGUGAAUAUGCUCUGUGACGUCAUUCCAUUAGGUGAUUAUGAUGCCCGGUGGGCCCCAGAACCACGGUACCUACCGCUGUGAAAGAGAAAUGCUAACGCACGCGCCGGGGGUGGACCGUUAAGCUCUGCACGAUGUUUUACCAUAAAUAAAAUAAUUAAUUUGUUGAAAAAAAAACUAUAUUAUAAAAAAAAUGUGACUUCAACGAAAUAAUUAGAUUUUGGUGAUUAACAUUUUUCCAUUUUUAUUACUGGGUCAUAAUUACAAAAUUAUAAAAUAUGUAACAUUUAAGGCAUGAUCAAAUAUUGGGUUGUAGCUUUUUCCAAUUUUGAUUAAUGGGUCAUAAUUGCACAUGCAUUCAGUAUGGUGGUAAAUUGCUGGUGUGAAUAUGUAUAUUUAUUAAUCUAACAAUUCAUAUUUAUAAAUAACUGUCAAUCUUAUACCCUAUUUGUAUUAAUCCAUAAUAUUAUCUUUUAAUAUAAUAGAAUUAUUUCACUAAAAUGAAGGGAAUAAAAAAAAUGAAACAUAUUGCAAAUAUUUUUUGAAUGACUCAUUCCCGGGCUUAAGAGUUGUAUUGUUACACCCCGAUGCUAUCUAUAUUUAUUAAUUAUUAUAUAAAACAUUUGUAUUACUCUCUUCUAUAGCAUAUUAUGAUUCACCUCCAUUUUCAUUAUAUUUUCCAUUUUCAUUAUAUUUUCAAUACUCUUCUCACGUACCAAAUUCAGCUUAUUAUUUAUUUUUUUAACUUAUUUUUCAUACUAUCUAUAUUUAUUAAUUAUUAGAUAAUACAAUUAUAUUAUAUAACAUAUUUAUUAUAAUAACCAUGUUACUAUCAUAUUUAUAGUUUUUAUAUUGGUCCACACCAUGAAUAUAUAUGUUAUACUUAAAAUAGUACACAUCAAAUCAAUAAUUUGUUGAAAAAUAAAUAAAUUAUAAACAUGUAAUAUUUGGGGAAUGAUUAAAUUUUGGUGACUAACAUUUUCCAAUUAUGAUUGUAACGACAUGUACCCAAUUGUGUAGGACUUAAAACGAAUAAUAUCCACUUAGUUUGGAACAAAUCGUUAUAAAUGAUAUUAAAGUCGAUUCUUCAUCUCGUAUAGGGGUUUAUUUGGUCUCAUAGGAAGUGUUUGUUUGUUUGGUUCCUCAAUUUCAUGAGACACAAUUAUGACAUAAUGUCUACAUUAAGGAUGUUUAUGAUAUCCUAUAUCAAAUAGAUAAGAAAGUUUUUAGUGUUAUAUAAGCAUGAACCUAUUUUAACCAUAUAUAUGCGUUUUAAAUUUAUAAGAGCCAAUUUGGACUUAGAGCAAACAAUAUUUAUACAAUUGAGAUCAAAUUAUUACAAAUUGUAUAAAGUUGACCGAUUUCAAUGUGAGGGUUUGUUUGACCCCAUAUGGGUAUUUGUCUCUUUGACCUUGAUACAACGGCGACGUUGUGUCUAUAUAAAAAGCCAUUUGUGAUAUUCCACAUCGGAUAUGAAAAAUAUUAAUAUGAAUCAUUCUUAACAUUGUAGACAUGUUUUAAGGUUACGAGGAUUUAAAGGGUCACGAAGUAGACAAUAUCUACGUAAAUAAAAGUAGGUUGGAUUGUUACAAUAAGUAUCAUAAAUACAUAUUUAUAUUUAUUUAUCUAACUAUUCAUGAAUAUUGAUAUAUUUUUGUAUCUUUUUUUUAUUAUUAUUAUUCUUUUAAAAAUGUUAUUUUUCCAUAAAUUAAUGCAUAAAAAUCCACAUGGGAUAUAAGAGUGUAAUCAUCAUCAAUUACCAUAUAUAAAACUAAUAUAUGUGUAAUAAUGAUGACUUCAUUAUUAUUUCACUAAUUUGCUUUCUUUAAGAAAAUCUUUUACAUUGGUUCAAAAAUAAAUCGAUACACAAAUUAUUUAUUAUUAUUUUUUUUAAAAAUAACACCUAUGACAAAAAUUAUUAUGAUCACGUUAUUGCCAAAUAACACGUAUGAUAUAAUAAUUGUAUUAAAAUUACACUCAAAGGGUUCAUAAUGGUUGGUAGGCUAUUUUAUGCUAGUAGUCCUAUUUUCCCACUCCACUCAUCAAUCAUCUAUCCUCCACUCAAUUCGUUUUCUCAUACUAUUCCCUGCUAUUCCUCUUUCCUAUCUUACCCCUCUUCACAAACAAUUUCGUCUUCUACUUUCUUCACACCUUCACUUAAACCCUAAUUACCUAGUCAUUCAUAUUGCUAAAAGAAAAUGUUAGUGUAUGUAAAGAAAUAUAGAACAUUACCUCCAUGAAUUUCACUGAUAUGGGCUCUGCCAAAUUUACCUACUUUUCAAUCAUUUUCUACUCUCAAAUUAAGCCCUAAUUUCAGUAGAAAACCCCAAUUCUUUACUCAUUUGAAAUACCACAUAACCAAGGGGGAAACUUAUCUUUAUCUUUCAUUCUUCUGUCUUCUCCCGAAGGCCCAGAAAGUACGAGAAAAUAAAGAGCAAGCGUGGAAAAUUUUCUCAACACAGCAGCAGAGUAGAGAAAGUUGCUCCAGGUUGUUUUCCACACAAAAUCAAUGGCAGCCUUCAACAUCUCUUCAGCUACAAUCUACCGUACAUCGUCUUCAUCUUCAUCUUCAUCAUCUUUGUCUUUGUCAUCAAAGCUGUCGGUUCUCCCAAUGCGGUGUGCUCCUCCAAGGCCUUACCGUUCUAGAUUCUCAAGUAAGGCUUUUGCUUUUUUCAAGAGAUUUUUUUUUCUUUCGGUUUUUACUGUUUUGGUUAAUUUAUGGAACAAUUUGCAGAGAUACUUGCGUUUACGAGCAAUGAUAUCAAGGUGGGUUCCAGCAUUGAGGUAGAUGGAGCUCCAUGGAAAGUUUUAGGUACUGUUCUUUGAUUUUCUCUCUGUUGCUUUUUAAUGAAAUAGUUGGGUUUUGGAGGUAAUUUGUGUGUUAUUCCAAUGCUCAUGAGGAAGAAACACGAGACACUGAAUGCUGUAAUUGAUUCAGUUUCUAACAACCACAUUGUGGGAAUUUGUAUGUGUUGUUGUAUUGAAGUUGCUGCAAUCUGAGAUAACGUAUUGGCUAAAUGGUGGCAUCUCAGUGAAAAGUUUAUUACUUUUCAAGAAAUUAUCGGGUUUUAAAUUCCCAAAAAAACAUCAAACACUGAUGUUGAAUAUCUCUUCUUCUUCUUUUUUUCCCUAGGUAAUGUGACCUAAUGGAUGUGUUGCAAUUUGCACUAUUAGAUUCUGAGUCCUGUAUGCACUGAGACCCUGUGAAAGGAAUUUGGUAGGAAAUCAUGAAUGUGCAUAUUCUUUUUGCAUGCUUGUCCGGGACUAUAUCUAUUGUGAUUAUUUAUUAAUUGUGUCACUUCCCUAUAUGCAGAGUUUCUUCAUGUGAAGCCUGGGAAAGGGGCAGCAUUUGUAAGGACCAAAAUGCGCAAUUAUGUAACGGGAAACACUGUUGACAAAACUUUUCGAGCUGGUUGUUCGGUAAUAUUUUUUUUUUUUUUUUACUAAAACUGGUUUAUUCAUUAUCUUGGUGCUAAUAUGUUGUAGGUUUUAUUUAGUUUGCAAUGAACAUGAUCUUAAAGACUGUCCUUUGGCAAUCGUAAUGUAGUUGUUGCAACAUUAGGUUUCUCUUUUUCAAUGCACCAGAAAAGACUUGAAAGAUGGAAGUGCUUUUCCUGUUUCCAUUGGAAACCUAUUAAGUCAUUAUAGUUUAGGAUUCUGUCAUAGAUUUUGCAUUUUCUUCUCCAAGUUAUUAUAAUUUGGGAUUCUAUUUUAAAUUUCCCAUUUUCUUCUCUGAGAUUUUUUUUCUUAAUUAACAUUAUAAUACUAUCUUGGCAAGGUUUAAUUUGGAUUCAUGGUGAUGUAGCUCCAAAGUGAAUGAACUAUGCAAUCUCUCAUAAUGUGAUUGUGGGUUUGACUACGUAAUUUCUCUCUAAUUUCAUUAGUUAUUCUUCCACCUCUUUCCUGAUUUUCUAUUGGCCUGUGGAUUAAGAAACUAAAUAGUUUGGGUUCUUAAUUUGAGCAACCUAAAGUUGUGUGGCUCUCCCUACAAUAGUUUAUCCAUGUUGGAUAUCGUACUUGUGCCAGGGUCUUUGUUAGAACAAUGUAAAUGUAAAGUAUUUAUAAAUUGCAUUUCAAACCCUUAGUCACAAAGCCAUAGGGCAGGAUUUAUGAUUGCUGAGGUGGGAACUGUUCUUGAGGACAACAUUGUAAUGGCUGGCACAAAAUGGUUGAAUUGCAUCAUGAAAUAAAGCUUCUACUCAUUUGUCAGCGGCACAACUAGGCAUGUUUAAUGCCUGCGCAGCCCUUGUGCGCCUUUGUUGGCCAUUCAAAGCCCAUAAGUCAAGCAUGAUUGGCUUAGGUUCCAUGAAACUUAGUUUUUUGUUUGAGUCUAUGGACCAUAAAAACAAUUUUUUUAAGGUUCUUGAAAGUUUAAUGCUGGAAACUCCAAUUCCUCUUAUGCUUGCAGCCCAAAAAUUUAGAUACUUUUCUCCAUUUUUUCCAAUGUUAAGAAUAAGAAUAUAAAAUUAAAGAGUGCCUAACAAGAAAACCAAUGUACAAAGGACACAUAUGAAGAGCAUUGAAGACAACAAGAACUAUAAACAACACCUUAACCCCUCCCGUAUAAACAAGUGAAGAAUCAAGAAUUGAAUAAAGUUACAAUCCAAAAAAAUAUUUGACCACAAGAAGAUAUUUUCAAAUGGGUCACUCAAUGGCAUUUUCAAGCUCUCUAUGCCCUCAAAAUAUCUUUUAUUUCACUCCCUUCAAAUGGAUCAAAGAGGAAAAAGGGAACUAAUCUCAUGCUAAUAUGAUUGACCAACUCCUUAUCCUGCUUGCUGAGGACUUUAAAGGCCAUUCCUGUUUCAUCAACUAAAAAUGUAGGUACUAUGUUGAUACAAGUCCUAAGUUGCUUCAAAACAAUGAAAAAUGCUGUUCAAUUUCAUCUUUGGGAUGCACUUUCUUAUAAAUAAGCCAGAAGAAUCUACCUUAUUCAUCUCAUGUUAGCAAAAUUUUCAACUAUUACAUACCUUAACGUAUCCUAGUAUUAUAGUCAUAAUGAUAUCAGGUCUCAUGCAACAAUUUAGGCACAUGUCUUUUCCUAAUUACAUUUUUCAAAGCCUUAAAUAAUUCUCAUGCUAUUAGAUGCCUUACUAACUUCUUAUAUUCCUUCUAUUAUCUUCUUGCAUCUCUAGAUAGAUGAGGCCAAUGUGUACAAGGAGACCAAGCAAUACACAUAUAAAGAUGGUGCACAGUUUGUCUUCAUGGACCUGGUAUUGCUCAUUUUCCUUUUCAUAUAAUUUAUUACUCACUUCAAACCUAUCAGCUUAACUAAACCUUGUGCCAGCUGCUUCAGUUAUUCUGAUUCAUUUUUCACUUAUCAAUAUGUGAAAAAUAUUUCUUCUUAUCAAUAUGUGAAAAAUAUUUCUUCUCAUAUGAUUGCAAGAUGCUGGCUCUUAUUACUGCUUUCCACAGAGUACAUUUGAAGAAAUUCGACUUAAUGAGUCUGAUGUUGGAGAGAGGACAAAGUGGCUGAAAGAGGGCAUGGACUGCAAUGUGCUAUUUUGGAAUGGAAAGGUACCAAAGAUUUUGAAUAUUUAAGUAUUUAAACUUUUCUCAUGAUCUUUUCAUUCAAGUUUUCUGUCACGUGUAAAGAGAGAAUAUGUGUUGAAUGUGUUUAGGAGAUUGUGUUUUAUGGCGAUUUAAUGCACAAGAGUGUGAGUUUGCAUGGAUAACUAAGUUCUUGGAAUAGCACUCUUCAAAUGGCUUACAAUAAUGAAUCAUAAUCUGAUGAACAUUAAGCAUCACAGAUUCAAGGAUGUACAUGGAAUUCACAUGUUACAUGCAUUAGCAAACUUGUGCAUGGUUACCAUUCAUUUUAUGAGAGGCGAAACAGCUGAUUGAUUUUUUCCCCUGGUAAUCAAAUUAACUAUUUAUAUGGUUGCAGAUUAUUGAUUUUGAACUCCCCAUUACAAUCAAGCUGACUGUUGUUGAUGUUGAUCCUGGCAUUAAAGGUGACACUGCACAAGGUAAUGCGAUUUGGUUUCUAUUGAAGUCAUGACACAAUGGCCUACUGAGUUUACAUGCCCAUCAAUCCAUGCCUUGGGGAUUACCAGUGGAUGGAUUUGGUCUUUAAUCCAUGUCCUGGGGAUUACCAGUGGAUGGAUUUGGUCCCACGCAAGAAUCUGAUCUUGGAAAUGAUAAAACAUAUGAUCAUUCUACCAUUGCUCUGAUCUGCCACAAACAGAUCAGAUGUCCUAAUCGGGUUAUGCAGGGCCUAAUUCAUCUGCUGUAUGACCAUAGUCUUGGAUUGGAAUGGUUUUAAUUAGGUUUGAAAAGUGCUUCACCUAUCAAUCAAAAUAUCGACAACUUUGUUUUCUUCAUCCAAGUAGCAGCAACUUAAUAUUUGGGCAGCGAUGUGACAAUCAUAGAAAUCAGUUUUUUUGAAGUAAUAAUAUGCCGUCAUUGGUUCACCCAUUGUGUGUUUGGCAAUGUUUCUUCAAUUUUCUUUUUUGCUUUUUUUUUUUCCAAUUCUUGACAUUCCUAAUCGCAGCUCACCUCUUUUUACUCUGGGAAUGCUCAGUUUUCCCCCCGCAAUACUGGUUUAGUAGCCCAAAGUGUCUGUAUGUGGUUGGUGAUUGUAAGAAUUUGUGGGGAGGGAAACAGUUUGUUAGACAGCUUUUGCUUCUAAUUUGGCAAACAAUAUUUUCUGGCAGGUGGAUCGAAGCCAGCAACUCUCGAUACAGGUGCUGUUGUCAAUGUCCCUCUGUUUGUAAAUAUAGGCGAUCAAAUAUUGGUGGAUACAAGAACUGGGGAGUACAGGAGUCGCGCAUAGCCAUAGAGAUCCCUUAUCUCUCGUCAUCUCCACAAGAUUCUACCCUUAUAUGUUUUUGUUAACUACCAAUGCACUGUACCCAUUGAAUGCAAGGAAAAUAAAUCAGAGAGGCUAGAUAGUAAAACAGUUGUAAUCUUAAUUUUUCUACUUUACAUUGUCGAUUGACAUGAUGAACUCUUUUUUUAUGUCAGAAGGGAAAUUCACAUUCAUUUCAUAAGACAUUUCUGUUUAGAGAAGGUUAUGAACAUGCUCGCUCAUUCGUCCUAAGCAUUAGAACUCAGCAAAAGUUUCCGGAAACGCUAGUGUGAAUUUUUGACACUAUCAAAUUCAUUGAAGGCAUGAGCAUUUUUGAAACCACAUGCAGCUGAAAGAAGUAUACAAUACAAAUAGGAAUGUACAAACCAUUGAUCUGUCAAGUCUACCAUUUGGUAUGAAUGCUCACAAGCAACAGUAGAACCUACAACUAACCAACAAUUGCAUUCUUGCGGCUUGAAGACUUGCCUGGCCUCUUGUGAGGGAUCACACCUCUCUUCAGAGCUGCACCAUAUACAGUACAAGCACUCAACCAUCUCCCCUGUUGAUUGAACUCAUCAAUCAAAAGGUUAUAACAAAUCCUACUGGGAAUUCUCCUCCCUUCGCACAUGAGAACCAAGAUCGACAGUGCCUCAUCAACCCUUCCCUCACUGCAAAGUGCGCGAAUGACACUGUUGAAGGUGAUCAUCCUGGGAGGAAAAUAUCCAAACCCUACCAUCUCAUUUAAAUACAUCAAAGCCUUGUCUACCUCCUUGGCAACACAAAGGGUUUGGAUCACUAGGCCAUAUGUAUUGGGGUAAAUGGCACAGCCCGCGUUAAUCAUUUUCUCAAACACUUCAUGGGCAUUUUUCAACAGCCCUUCUUCUUUCCAUGAUCUCCUGCACAAUCCCCUCAACAUGGUGUUCAUCAUCCUCUCUUCCACUUUGAAACCGGCCUCCACCAUCUCCCUGUAAAUUCGCAGCGCAGAAUGAAUUUUGCCCCACUUCAAUAGUCCAUUCAACAAAGUGCUAUAACUGAUAUAAUCAGGCAUGCAGUUUCUUUCUUUCAUGUUCUUCAAUAGAUGAAUCCCCUCUAAUGGCCUUCCUUCCUUGCAAUACCCAUUGAACAGGGUAUUGAAAGUGACCACAUUUGGGGUCAUUCCCAUUUCCAGAGCUUCAACAAGCAACUCCAUUGCCUCAUCCGACCUACCCACUUUGCAAAACCCAUCCAUAACAGCUGUAUAUGAAUAUAGGUCUGGUUUUACUGAAGAUUUCUUGAUUUUCAUCAAGAAUUCAUACGCAUCCUCCACCCUCCCCACAUAGCACAACCCCUUUAACAGGCAGUUAUAUGUCUGAACAUUACCUUUGCAUCCAAUUCGACCCAUGAACUCCAAAAUCUCCACAGCUUUCUGCAAUUUACCCCUUCUGCAGAAUGAAUUGAUCAGAAUAGUGAAUGUUACUACACUUGGUUGAAACCCAAUUUCCACCAUGUGCUCAAGAACUCGUUUUGCUUCACUCGGGUCAUUUUUCUUGCAGUGGCACUUGAUAAUAAUGGAAAAAGUCCAAGAAUCUGGCACCAUCCCAUAGGAUGAUAUAUCACAGUAGAGUUUCAGCGCAAGGUCAGGCUCAUCUGCUAUGAAUAAAGCCAGGAGCACAUCAUUGAAGACAGAAAGGUUCUGAAAUGCCCGUUCUCUCUCAAACACAUGGAUAAUUUGGAUUCUUUCAGAAGUGGGUAAGGCUCUAAUCCUAUCAACAAAGUUAUGGACUUGUAAUCUAGUAUUUCUCCUAUCAAAGUCCAUGCUAUGUGGUUCUUCCUUGAUGGGUCUGUCAAUGGAGACUCCAUUUGGACAAAUCCUAUCAGUUGCAUUGGCGAUACUGAGAGUGCUUUCUGAUGAAUUCCUAACAGAGAAUGAGAGAGUGGUGGCAUGGAGAAGCAACUUACCUUGUUGGGUUUUGUUGUGGUUGUUUCUGAAGAAGCAAGGGCUACUAAAAAUCAAAGAAUGAAUGGGUGAAGGAUGUGGAGAAAACAAUAGUUGAGAAGGCAUGUAUGCGGGAUUCGUGAAUUGGGGAAGAAGGCUAUUGCAAAUCAUGAUGUACACUGCUCACCAAAGAGGGUAGUGGGAGGGGCAUUUUGAGGCAAAUGAGCUGUUUGAAACUACAAUUCAUCCCUGGAGAUAUUCUCUACGCCUUCACAAGGUUGAAGCAACACCAUUAAUUCAGGUCAAAAACAAGUGUUAAAUACCCCUCGAAAAUCUGUCGACACCCACAUAUUAAUUUAUUCUUUAAAAAAUAGAACUUAAAUAUGGAAGGGCAAAAUGACCUUCUCUUCAUCCUUCUUCCUAUCAAAUUUGAUAAAUUGAUGAUGAAAGCUAUAUUUUGUAUUAUUUCUUUUUGAACUUUAUACAAAAAUGUAAAUGAAUUGUAUAAGGAAAGAAAUGAAUAAUAUUCCUAAGAUAUUGGAAAGUAUCCUAAAAUGAAGAGAAUCAAAUAUUAUUAAUAUUUUAAUUUUGUGAGAAUUAAAUAUUUCUAUAUUUUGUGAGAAUCAAAUAUUAUUAAUACUUGAUUUUCUCUAGAUUUAUGGAAAUAUUGAUGGAAGUGUCUUCUUACCCUUUAUGUGCUUGAUUAUGUGUAUUUCCUCAAGUUAGAGUGAGAACAAACAUGGACGUCUAAUUUGUUCAAAGAUUUGGUAAAAAUAUCAGCAAGUUGAGAAUGUGUAAAAACAUAGUGAGUAACAAGAGUGCGCAUAGUUACCUUAUCUCAUACAAAAUGAUAAUCAAACUCAAUAUGUUUAGACCAAACAUGAAACAUGGGAUUAACAAACAUGUAAAGAGCACUAACAUUAUUACAAAAUAAUUGUGGUGAUUUAGAGAGGGACACACUAAUAACUCGUAAAAAAUAAGUAAUCUAAAUUAACUAUGCUAUGGAGAAAGCCAAAGAGCGAUGCUCAACCUCAAUGCUUGAGCAAGCAACAACUAGUUGUUUCUUUGAACACCAAGAGAUACAAUUUGCUCCAAGAAAAACACAAUAACCCAUGGUGCUCCGUCUUGCAGCAGGACAACCUGCUCAAUUAGCAUCACUAAACCAAUAAAAGAGAUAUUGGAUUGGUGGAUAGGUAACGUAAACCAAAGUAUUGGGUUCCUUUAAGAUAUCUUAAGAUACCCUUUAUAGUUGUCAAGUAAGCCAUAAUGGGGUUACUAAAAUAUUGACAUACCUGAUUAAUUGUCAUAUGAAAGUUAAGUAUUAAACGGGUUCAACAAUAAUUUAGAAAGUAGUAACAUCAUUUAAUACAUUGUUUGAAAGAGAAGACUCGUUAGUAAGAACCUGAGGUGGGGCAACAUGAUUACUAUUAAACAUCUUAGUUCUUGAAAGUAGGUCACGUAUAUACUUUUGUUGAGAAAGAAAAACUCCUUCAUCAAAAUAUUUAAUCUCUACAAUAAGAAAGUAACGUAGAAGGCCAAGAUUUUUAUUUGCAAAUUCAUGGCUGAGUUGUGCAAGGAGACUUGUAAUAAGAAGACUUGUAAUAAAUUGGUUAUUGUUACAUACAAGAAGAACAUCAUCCACAAAAAUGAGGAGAAUUGUAGUUAUGUCAUGAGUGCAAUAAAUAAACAAUGACGAGUUCACUUUAUUGCAAUAGAAACCAAAUCGGAGCAAAAAUUGUGAAAAGUGAUUGAACCAAGCACAAGAUGCUUAUUUCAAACCAUAUAAUGAUUUCUUUAAUAAAUACACAUAAUCAGGAAAAAGAAAAUUAAUAAAGCCUGAAGGCUACUCCAUGUAGAUUGUUUCCUUUAGUUGCCCAUGCAAGAAUAAUUUUUUUAUGUCCAAUUGGUGCAUGCUCCAAUUUAAAGAAAGAGAUAGAGCUAUGACAAGACACAUGGUGGUUGGUUUAACCACAAGGUUGAAAGUUUCAUUUAGUCCACUUUUGAUACUUGUAUGAAACAUUUUGCAACCAAGUGAGUCUUAAAACAAUCGAUAAAACCAUUUUCUUUAUACUUAAUAUGAUUUACCCAUUUGGAGCUAACAACAUUGAUUCCAGAUGGUGAGAAACAAACUCCUACAUGUUAUUAUCAUGAAAUGCUUGAAGUUUAUCUUUCAUGACAUCAGUCCAACUUAAAUCCUUGAGAGCGGUCUUUAAGGUCUUUGACUCAAAUGAAAUGAGAUCAUAUACACGAGAAGAGGUUGGUGAUGAAAUGGGAAGAACAAUAUAGUCACUGAGGUAAAAAGGUGGCGUUCUAACUCAAACAAGUUUAGUUUAUGGCACUAACUCAAUUGGAGAGACUCAUGAAAUGUCAUCAUAUUCAAAUUUAGCUUCAGUUGAAGGAGAAGAAUGUGUAAGACCUUCAUCCACAGUUGGAAUCAAAUUCUCUAAAGUUGAAGUAUAUGGAACCAUUGGAAUAAAGGUAGAAUUUGCAAAAAAAAAUUGAGGUAGUUGCACUGUUCAAGCUAAGUUGAUUUUCUUUGUUAUUUCCUACAAUAUUUGGAAUAAAAUCUACAAUAAAAUUAGGGUUACAAAAAUAAAAGGAAUCAUUUGACAAGGUAGUUUCCUUAUUAGUUGAAUCGAACCAUUCAUCCAAAUAAGGGAAGUCAAACAUUUCCAAAUUUGUAAAAUUAGAGACCACAUGUAAGGACUUGUAAAUAAUGGUGCCUUCAUCAAAGACAACAUGUCUAGAAAUACAAACCUACCUUGUUUGAGGCUCCAAGCAUCUAUAAUCCUUAUGAAUCGGGUUAUAUCUGAGAAAGACACAUAGAUAAGUCUUGUUGGUAAAUUUUGAACCAUAUUGAUAAUGUAAUGAUGAAAAACAUUGACAUCCUAGUACUCGUAAGCCAUUGUAAUCAGGAUGCUUUUUGUAGAGCUUAAAGUAAGGGAUAACAUUGUUAAUAGUUGAGGAGGGCAACUUGUUUAUAAGAUACACAGUUGUAAGAAAGACUUCAACCCAAGGAGAUAAUGACAAGGUGGCAUGAAAAAACAUGGUCAAUAAGGUUUCAACAAUAUGUCAAUGUUUUCACUCGACCAUUUCGUUUUGUUCAAAAGGUCCAAUACAUGAACAGGUAGCUCCAUUCCAUUAUUCUAAAGAUGCUUAAGAAAAAUAUUAGAGCUAAAUUUCCUCCACUUUCACAUAUGAAAUGCUUUAAUUCUUUGAUUAAAUUGAUAUUCUACCAAAUUUUGAAACUUAUGAAAACAAACAGAAAAUUCAAAUUUCCAUUUCAAAGAAUAAAACCAUGUGAAUCAUGAAUAAUCAUUGACAAAUAUUGCAUAAAAAUGAAAAUGUUGAUUUAUAGUCACAGGAGCUGAGCCCCAAAGAUCACAAUUAUCAAGAGGAAUUUUAGAAAAUUUAUUUGAAUAAUAGAGAGACAAUUUGCAACUCUACCCCAUUUGACAACUAAUAUAAAUAGAAGGUUUAGUUGCUCAAUGGGUUAUAUCAAUAAAUUUCUAUUCCUUUAAUAAGGAAAGAAUUUUUUAGUUUGGAUGUCUAGGUUGUUGAUGCCAAAUUGAUAAAGAACCAUAUUUCUUUAUUGCACUAAAUGCCUCUUAAUUGUUUCCAUUUAACAUAUAUAGUUGUCUUUUCUUAUGCCUCCUUGUUAUUGUCCUUUAAUUUUAGUCCUUAACAACAAAGUCAGAUGAGGUGAAUUCAAAAGUACGUAAAUUAUUUGCAGUAAAUUUUUUAAUAGAUAACAGAUUUUUCUUUAAAUAAGAAACUUCUAACACGUCUUUUAAAUCCAAUUUUCCUCCAUUAUUCCAAUAUGAGAAAUAUGUAGACUAUUUUCAUUUCCAACAUAAAUAACAACAUUCCCAUCAUAUGAUUUAAUAUGAAAAAUUUUACUUGCAUUGUUGGUCAUCUGUGAGGUAGCACCGGAAUCAACAAUAAAUAACUAAUCAUUUGAGUCAUUCAUGGCAAGAGUAGCAAUAACUUGUGGAAAAUCUUUAGAUUGGUAGGAAUAAUCUAAUCUAUACCAACAAUCAAUAGCAAGAUGAUUUGGUUUUCCACAUAUUUGACAAGUUACUUUACUAUUAUUAUUUGAGCUAGUAGGACGUUGUUGUUGAUGCCUUUUUUUUGGUUGAAUUGUAUUGUUAUUUGACCAUUUAGGAAUGUUGACAUUGCUUUGAGGAUUAUGGUUGCCAUUAUAGUGCUUAAUAGGUGUGAAUCCUCUUCCCUUUGAGUUGAAAUUUCUUUUACCCACUCGGCCAUUUUGAUCACGACCUUGUUGUCCAAAGAAAAAUUGUGCAUGCUUUAAUAAUAUUUUCUCUUCCUCUUUUUGGGUGGUGAGUGAUUGUUUAUGUCCUUGAAGAGCUAGCAUAAACUAGUUAAAGAAAUGAUAAGGUGGUUUAAUAAGCAUAACAAGUAAAAAAAUUUCAUUCCUUGUCCUAAACCAUGAGCUAAUUGAAAAACUUUAUCUUGGUUUGAAAUUGGCUUUUUGACUAUAACAAGAUUGUCACAUAUAUUUUUGAAGUUUCUUAAAUAUUCUUCAAAAAACAAUGACCUCUUGUUGAGAGUCAUCAACAUAUUUUUCAAAUUCUUUUCUUUUUUUACUAUAAUACAAAACAAUUGCUCUUCAAAAGACGUCCAAACUUCAUAUGUUAUUUCAACACCAAAGAUCAUGCUCAAAACAUCUUCUUUCAUAAUUCCAAGAAGCCAUGAAAUAAGAAGUCUAUCGUUAUUGAUCCAUAGUUGGUAUUGUGGGUUAGGACUUUUGAUUUUUUCAUCAUCUUUAAUUUUUUCAGUAUGUUUUUCUCCAUUUAAUAGAUGAUGGAGAACAUCGAGGCUACGAACAAAGGCAGUGAUUUGACUUUGCCACCGUAAGAAAUUUGUGGUGUUUAACUUCAUAGAGAUGAAACUAGAACAUUGGUGAAAUGACUAAGUAUUGAGUCCAAGUUCUAUGUUUAGGAAAGAGGAAAAGAAUGAAGAAGAAGAUAUAUAUAUUCCAAGCUUGAUUUUCAUAAUACCAAUUCUUGGGUUUGUUAUGAUACUUGGGUAUUACAUUUUUGGGCUUUGUUUUCCGCAUGCUUAUUUAGGCCUAAUUAAGUUUGUUCAACAUUGGAUUGGGCCUAUUUACUAAUUAUAUUGGGGCUGUAUUUCCUUACUAAUCCAUUUUUUUUAUUAAAUAAAAAGUUCAAAAUCAAUUUUUUUUCUAAAAAAAUAUUUUAAUGAAAUAACAAUUUAGAAAAUAUUCCUUUUAAUAAAAGUCUGGACAGUUCUCUUAAUAAAAAGUUCAGAAAAAAAUGUUUUUAGACGAAUUUUAAAAACUAUUUUUAAUAAAAACUUGGAAAUUUAUUUGUUUAAUAAAAUUGUCAAGACAGUUAAUUUUUAAAUAACAUUAUUCAAAAGGUUAAUUUUUAAUAAAACAGUUCAAAUUUUUUAUUUUUAAAUAAAACUCCAUAAUUUUUAUAAAUUAAAAUUAUAGAAUCAUUUUCUUAAUAAAAUUGGAUUGAAAAUAUUUUUGUAUAUGAAAAAAAUCAAUUCAUUUGUAAAUAAAAUCAAAUUGGAACAUUCUUUGUUAUUAAAUUUGUAAUUUUUUUUUUUAAUAAUUGGUGUAAAUCUUGUUUCUAAAUGAAAUCCAAAAUCUUUUAAAUAAGAAUAUAAUUUAACGAAUUUUAAUGUGAAAAAAAAAAUUCUUAAUAAAAUUGGGAUCUUGGAAACAAAUUUGUGAAAUUUCUUUCCCUAAAUAAAUAAAUUGAUAAUAAAAAAUAUAUUUUAAAAAAAUUAAAUCCAAAAAUAAUCUUUUUAAUAAAAUUGGGCUGAAAGUCCAUUUUAUAAACUUAUAUAUAUCUUUCUUUAAGUAAGUAGAAAAUCAUUUUUUAAAAAACAAAAUAUGAAUCAAAACACUUUUGAAAAUAAAUUUAUAAAAAUACAUUCUAGAAAAGCAAACAGAAUCAUUUUUUUAUAAAUAAAAUCAAAUUGAACCUUUUUUUUUUUUUGUGAAAUUGUAUUCAAUAAAUUCUUUUUAUAAAAGAUAAGAGAAAUUCUUUCAAAAUAAAUUUGAAUGUGAAUAAUAGUUAAGUCUUUUGCAAAUAAAUAAAUUAAAAUCAUUGAAAUUGUUUUUAAUGUAAAUAUAUUCUUUCAAAAUUCUUUUAAAUUAUGUUGUGAUUUUUUGAACAAUAAAACUUUUUUUUUUCUAAUUAAUUUAAUAAAUCAAUUUAUAUAAUUCUCCAAAUUAGUUUUGUCGUAUAUUUACAUCUUACUUUUCUUGAUAUUUGUAUUUAAUUAAUCAAUUGUCACAAUUCCCUCAAUUUGUUUAAUAAAAAUAAUAUGUAUAGAAGAUUAAAGAGUUGUUACGGUUUAUCAUUGCAUCUUCCAGAUGGUAACCUGACUUCCAAUUUUAUUUAUUUUUAUUUCACAAACUUAUCUUUUCCAAAUAAAGUCAUAUAGAAUUUUAUUUCUUAUUUUGUUUCCCUUAUAAAAAUAUACUAAAAUAAGUAAUAACUCCGAGUUUUUUAAAAAUGUAAUUUUUAACAAAUAAAAACAAAUCUCUUCAUAUAAUGAAUUUAAUGAUAUAUUAUGACAUGAUGGUGGGUCAAUGGAUAAUAUCUAAAUGUAGAUAACAAGUUGUUAUAGAAUUAUGAUAUCUUUCAUAAGAUAGGGGGAAAACCUUCUUUAAUUUAUCUUAAUUGUGUAUAUGUGUUUUAAAGUGGUAAAAUUUCAUUGAGGUUGAGUACCAAUAUCUACAUGAAAAGGAUGAGUAUUACAAAUGAUAUCAAAAUUUAUCAUUGACUUUGACUUUGACUUAGACUUAGAACUGUAAGUUAAUGUUUUGAAAGGAUGUUACGAGAGAAUGCCAUAACAAAUGGUAUUAAAGACUUUGGUAGCAUAUUACGAGGUUUAAUGUUUAUUGCAAUAAAAUUAGGGAAUUAUGAUACUUGUUACUUUCUUUAUUUGAAGCUUUUUGGCCCUUCUAUGUUUUAUUAGGGUGAAAGAUGAUUCAUUCAUAAGAAGAAAACAAAAGAAAAUCUAGAGAGCUACCCUUUUUUUUUUUUUUUUGGAUUUUACAACAGAAAAGAAUCUAAAUAACCUUUAAAAAUAUAGAGCAACAAAUUUAAUCAUUGAAGAACUCUUUUAUUAAAAAUUUAUCUAGAUGGGUUAAAAUGUGCAUAAUGGAAGGAGUAUCUUUAAUUGAUCUUGUAGGUUGGGCGUGAUCUAGACCAUGGAGGGAAGGCUUUUUUGUUUUUUUGUUUUUAUAUUCAUACCUUUUGUUAUCCUUUGUAUAUAGGACUUGGUGUAUAGUUAUUUAUAAUUUUAGUGAUAUAUACUCUCCAUUUUCUUAUAUAGUUACUUCUUCUUUCAAGUGGAAGAUAACCCCGAGCAAUUGUCGAUUUUUUUCUAUCAAUUAUGGCUCUCCCCUCACUACCCCGUGGGAUGAGUUCACGCUUACCUAGUCAAUACUUAAAUUGGAUUCUACCUCAAUUUUUCUAAUUUACCCCAACAUUUUUCACUUAUUUGUGGGCAAUUUUUGGAUAUCAAACGCUUCGCUAACUAUACAUUUAAAACCCACCUCAAAAAGCACGUCGUUUUAUGAAUCAUGUUUCAUUAAUUUUCAUUGAUUUUGUCUUCAUAAAAAAUGGGUCUCAAAUCCUCUACCCAAAAAGAAAAAGAAAAAAAAAGGAUAGGCAAUAUAUGCGGACAACAUGAAUCAUUGAAGAACUCUUUUAUUAAAAAUUUAUCCAGAUGGGUUAAAAUGUGCAUAAUGGAAGGAGUAUCUUUAAUUGAUCUUGUAGGUUGGGCGUGAUCUAGACCAUGGAGGGAAGGCUUUUUUGUUUUCUUUUUUUAUAUUCAUACCUUUUGUUAUCCUUUGUAUAUGGGACUUGGUGUAUAGUUAUUUAUAAUUUUAGUGAUAUAUACUCUCUCUUUUCUUAUAUAGUUACUUCUUCUUUCAAGUGUAAGAUAAUCCCGAGCAAUUAUCGGUUUUUUUCUAUCGAUUAUGACUCUCCCCUCACUACCCCGUGGGGAUGAGUUCACGCUUACCUAACCAAUACUUAAAUUGGAUUCUACCUCAAUUUUUCUAAUUUCCCCCAAUAUUUUUCACUUAUUUGUGGGCAAUUUUUGGAUAUCAAACGCAACUCCAAAAAGGAAAAAAAAAAAAGAAAAGGAAAGGAUAGGCAAUAUAUGCGGACAACAUGAUAUGAAAAACUCGAAAAAUAAUAAAAUUCAACGACGCAGAGAUCUACUAAAUGCCUUCCAAGACACGAGGUCCUUAUGAUCCGGUACCCCUCUCCUUCCUCCCUUUUUCCCAAAAACUGGACUCAGCAACUUCUUCAGCACCCUCUUGAACCCGGACCCACGACGCCCACGUCGCACCUCCGCCCCCACCGCAGGCGGCUGAGGCAGGGGCGCAAAUGACCGAGCCGCCCCUGGCUCCGACAGGCUCCGACCCAGCAUCGCCCGCGUCAGCUGCAACUCAAAUGACAGCCUCUCGAACUGGUCCAACAGUGUGCUCUGCUCGUCUCCAAAUUUCCCAACAACAGCCGCUAUUUCUUCCAUUCUCUUCAUAUCGACCAUUAAGCUUCAAUCACAUUCACAUCAAACUCCUUCUGAUGGGUUCACAAAGUAUUUAUUGGAUGGACAAAGGUACAUGAAUAUAGAACAGUUUGCUCUCUACUUUUAUAUGCUGACAGCAGCUGGUUGCAUUUAUUUGACAGUCCUUGGAAAUUGAAAAUAUUCAAAUAUCGGUUUAUUUGAAUGCUUUCCAAGGAUAAUUCUUAUUAGAGUUUCAAUCACAACCUUAAACCCCAUGGCAAGAAUUCCUUGGGCAAAACCGGGCCAAACACUUUAUUCUUUCUUGCAUCACACAAGUUAUGUUUUGUUCCUACAAGCUUCUUCCACACAAAAGCAUUAUAGAUUGUAAAAAUAUAAAAAUGCAGUCCUAAUAUUCUAAUUCCAACAAAGAAAUGUCACAAAUAAAAAGAGUCAAUUUGGUAACUAUUUUUUAAAACAGUUUUGAAAAAUAGUUUUUAAAAACAGUGUUUAAAAACGGUUUUUUAAUGUUUAUAAAAUAAAAGUUUGAGUGCAUUUCAUAAUGAUUUUAGAAAGUGUUUUUAAACUUUCUUAUACUUCAAAAUUUUUAUCUUUCAAGUAUUAAAAAAGAUAAAAACACUUUUUAAAAUCGUUAUCAAAUGCACAAAUUACUUGAAAACCGAAAUUAUUUUUAAAUUAUAAAUAUUUUAUUUUUAAUCAUUCUACAUGUUUAUAUAAUUAUUUUUUAAUACAACUAUUAGAAAACAAGUGAAAAUAAUAUAAAACAAUUUUAAAAAGUUCUUUAAAAAUACCAUAUUUUUUGUUUUUAAAUAGAAAACAGUUUUUUGUUACAAAACAUGUUUUUUUUUAUUUUUUAUUAAGAAUAAUACAAAAAAUUGCUCCCGAAAACAAUUGUCAGACAAGUCCAAAGUAUCCACUUUAUUUUUCCUUGCGAUAACAAUAUAACCACCUUUAGUCAAGCCUAAGCCAACUGAUUAGCCUAAGAAUUUAAUAGGUAUAUUAUCUUUGUUGUUAAUAAAUACAAUUACAAAGUUUUUAAAAAUAUAUAUAUAAUUAAUUUUAAAAAAUAAUUAAAAUUUGUUUUUUUAGAUAAGUUUUAAGGGAGAUAAAUUAUGUAUAUUUAUUUUAUGUGUGCUAACUACACGUAAUUAAAAAGCGGCCCAAGCUUGGAGCCCAGUAGUAUAUUUUGGAUGGGUUUCGUUGAUAUCGUGGACCAUUUCUCGGGGUUAAAUGAUUGGGCCAGACCAUGGGCUGGGCUCGAAUUAAAAAAGUCUGUUCAAGGCCCAGUCUAGACGGAUCAGGCUCGGCCUAGGGGGGAAAUGGGUUUGGCUUGAGGUUUGUAAAUGAGUCCGACAUAUAGGAAUUGGAAUGAAGGCCCAUUCGGCCCAUAAAACCCGAACUGUCGAUUCUCGCUGAUUCACCCACUCAAUUGCGUCAUGGUGAGCUGGUGGUUCUCCACUUCCACUGGUUUUGAAUCGAAAACAAAAACCUAAACUUCGAUCUCCUUAUACCCUCAAUAACUCCUUCCUUUAUUUAAUGCGUGAAGUCUAAGCUCAGUGAUUCGAUUUCAGUUGCUAUUGGCUAAGGACUUGUAAUUUUCCAGGAAAAGGAGGUUGUUUUCAUGAUCACAAGUCUGUUUGGAUGGAUAGAAAUGAAUUUCUUCCUGUGAUUUUCUUGCUUUUUCUGGUUGUAAAUGUUUCUGGUGGUUCAGUAGCUGGUAAGUUCCGAAAAUUGGCUGAUGCUGAGCCAAAGGAGGAUUCCACUGCAACCAAGGUAGUACUGAAAACAAUUCUCUGAUUAGAAUUGCUUAUUUUGAAGUGAAAUAAUGAUUGCGAUUCUGAGACGUAAACCAUUGUUUUUAGAUUGAUCCGCCGCCGUCUCCAGUUUCUGUUGGCAAUCAAUCGGAGCCAAAGCCGAUUGAUCCAGGCAAACUCGGGAAGGAGAAAUCUAAGGAUGCCCCAGUACCCACCACCAACUCUUCAAAAGCAGAUUCAAAAGGGAAGCAAAAAGAGAAAAAUGAUGAUAAAGCCAGUUCAGAACUGGGAACAUAUGGGACUUGUGAUGGGUUACUUGAGAAGUGCACGGACCCCAAGAAAAAGAUGAUUGCUUGCAUUCAAAGUUUUGAAAAUGGUAUUUUCUCAUGGAUUAUGGUUUUGUUGCAAUGUGGUGUUGCUUUAGGUAGAAUGAUUCUGUACUUGCAUUUAGUAUCAGUUUUAGUGAAUGGGGUCUGCAAGUCUCAUUUUGGAAAACUACUAAGAGCAAUAUCAAAUUAAAUGAACUAAAUUUUUAUUGACAAGAUUUGUUGGGUAUCAUACUGAGUUGUUAUCUAAAUACUAUUGUCUUGUCAAAACUUUUGAUAUAGAAGUAUUUCAGAUAUAGGGCUCAAGUAUUUUGUUAUAUUAGUAUGAGAAUAUGAUGGCUUAAACGCAUUGAGAAUUGAGAUAAAUGGCAGAUUCAGGGCUAGACAACUGUGGAACAUCCAUGCUGGAAUUUUAGAGCUAGCAGCUCAUUAACACUUGUACAACUUAGAGACUUUACUAUUUCAAAUGUUGAGUAUAAAGUUUGGCAGGCAUGUGUAGGAGUCUAAAUGAUGUCAGUAAAACUGUUACUGCUUCUGGUAGAACAAUUUUGGACUUCUUGGAGGUGCAUUUGCUUGGUAGCAAGCACCAUAUCUGAAAUUACUUAUUGGGUCGAAAGGUGGCAGUCAGGAAGUGCAAUUUAAAUAGAACAGCAAUUGGAUUGCAAUGUUGACAACAAAAUAAAUGGUUUAGCUUCAAGCUUUUCUAUUACAUAAUAUGGAGGAAAUCAGGAAUUCAAAAUUCCACUCUUAUUAGUGAGCGGUAACCUGGUUACUGUGGUUACCAUUCUCCCUUGUGUAUCAUUUCCACUUUUCUGCUUGUGGAGUUAGAUGCAGCAUUCUCCUGUAGUCUGAAUAGUUUCAAUGGGGAUACCGAAACAAAUGCAUUUUUAGCUAUUUUCUUUGUACUUCAUAGUUUUUUUUAUAAGCAAAAUAUUGGAAGUGGACUAUAAUUUAAAGCAUUUCAUGGUUCCUGUUUUAGAACAAUCACAGUGGAUUCUAAUCUUUAGGUGUCUAUGUUACAGCUGUCAAACAGAACUUAAUAUAUUAGUUAAAAGCACGGAUUCCUUUUUGAGAUAUUGAAUUGUGUUGAUGUUUAUUCUAUGAUAUGUUGGAUACUCCUCUAUCAACAUUUAUUGGCAUGUCAAUCACUAGUUAAAGUGUAAAUCUGUCUAUGAGGGUAAAGAGCAACUAAAGUGUAACUUUGAACACAAGUGUCUGCUUUUGGUUCGGAAACUUCAACGGGUCUACAUUUGUUUAUUUCAGAAUUGUGUGGAAGGAUAUGUGAUUGUCCUGCUUAUGUUUUGGAAGCUAUUGAUAUUUGUUUUUUGUAUUGGCCUUGAGUCCUAUCUAAAGUGCAAGAUGAUGGAGAAGGUUCCAGGUUUUAUUCCCAUUUAAAGGCCAAAUAGAAAAAACUAUAAAAAAAUUAUAUUUUUAGAUUGAUUUCUAUUGUUAUUUCACAUGCACAGCCUUAGAGGCAUGCUGAAUAUAUUCUUGUUCAUAUAAAUUUGUUCAAAUCCAUACUCAAGACUCAAACCAAUGUGAAUAUUUUUAUUUAUAUAGAUUCAUGAGUGCACAUAUGCACAAACAUAUCCUCAUCUCAAUGUUUUGAGGAGUUCUUAUCUCUGUGCUCCAAGUCCACAUGAGUGUGUGAUAGUUGUCCAUGCCUGCAUUCUUGGCUUUUAUUUCUUUCUGAGUGUUUAAGAUGUGUUAUUGGACACAUUCUUUAAUAACAUUUUGUUUCUUAUAAAGGAUUGAUGUCUCACUGGGCAUUGACUUUCUACUAAGCUAUAUCUGAUUAGGAUGGUUUCUGCAGUUCUACGUAGGAUGAGUUAGUACUUCUGAUGCUAUAUUAUUCUGUGUGGGUGCUUUUUUUGUUGUGAUAAGCUUUAGGCAUGUUUAGUCACUCAAAUUAUCUAUCUCAAAUGGCCUCAAAUAUAACCUCCUGUAUCCAUUUUUGCUACCCUUUAGUGGGCCUUGGGUUCUUUUGCCAUCUUUCGAGUAACUUGUUAUUAAGGAUUCAAGGAAGCUAAUAAAACAUCAUUUAAUGUCUUCUGCAAAUUUGGAAUGCUGUCUGAGUGUUUGUCGGUUAACUUAUUUUCUGUUAUAUUUGUUGUUUAUUGACAUGGAUUCAAUUCCCCACAGAAUAUUGUGUUGAUAUACCAUUAGUUUUACAUAUUUCUUGUCAAGGAGAGAGUUCUUCAUUGCCUUCCAUUUUCCUUUGUAACAGGAUCCAAAGCCCUCAUUGUCCAAAAUGAAGGAGAGAACACUUUGAAAGUGAAUCUUACUGUCUCGGAUUCUGUGAAAGAUGCUUUGGAGGUUCUAGUAAUACCAAAACAUCAAACUAGAAGUGUAUGGGUCCUUUCUCUUCUGCUACUUUGUCUUUUUCUUUUGAUCGUUAUGAAAGCCAUUGGAAAAAGAAUGAUGGCAUGAACCUGAAAUACAAGCCUUUCUGAUGGAACACUACUGAACUACUGUUCAUAUGAUGGUUUUUAAUCUUAGUGUAGUAUCAAAAGUGUCACCAGUUUCUAUUGCAUGCAUUAAAUAGAAACAUUGUCAAGUAAUAAUGACGAGGAAAAAUAAGCUUACAAAAAUAGUCUAUUUUUGGGUGGUUUUAUAGGAAAUCGCAUGAGAUGACAUGGUGGGGUAGUGGAGUGGGGUAUGAUUUCUUUUUUUGCUGUUUCUUGGAUGAAAUGAUAAAGCAAGGUUGAUUCAUGUGUUCAAUUUUUCAGCUUAGAUGAGAUUCAUGUUCUAGAAUUUUAACAAAUUCACUUAUUUGUGUCUUUACUGUAUUGGUGUUAGAACCAGAGAAUUGGAAAGAGGUAAUAUCUCUGAUAAGAGAAUAAAAAACACUAGGGACUUCAAUGCGCAGCUUGGUAGGGCACAAUGGAGGGGUGGUUUUGCAUAAAUCAUUGUCUGAUCCUUUUCAGUGUUCUGUUCUCAAAUAUGAGUAUUCUUGCUUUCUGUUAAUAUGGCAUAUCUAUUCCACUCCUUUUCUAGAUCAAAAUCCUCCUCUAAAAUAACCAAAUUGUUUUUAUAACUGAUAUAGAGGAUCACCUCCAGAAUUAGAUGAUUCCUAAAACUUCUUCAAAAGUAGUUUACAAUAGAGGAACUUUGGAGUCCUGGCCACGAGGACUUUGAGGAAUCAUCCAAUUUUGGAGAUGAUCCUCUAUUUCAGCUGUAGAAAUAAUUUGUUUAGAGGAGGAUUUUGGUUUUGAAAAUGAGCGGAACAGAUAUUUCAUAUGAAAAGAAAGAAAGAAUACUCCAAUUUGAGAACAAAACAGUGAAAAAAAUCAAACAAUGAUUUCAAAAAAACUUCCCUUCCUUGGGUCUUACCAAGCUAUGCACUAAAGUCCCCAAUGUUUUCUAUUUUGUAGUCAAAGAUAUUAUCUUUUUCCGUUCUAUAGCUCUGAUACAAUUCCAACAUUCCUAAAUGGAUAUAACAUAAAAACAAUUCAAAAUUAAAAUCUGAAAUACAAAAAGAAAAUAGUAGUAAGAGAAAUCUUACAUUCAAACUUAAAGAUAACUUUUGAUACAAGAAGCUCACACCAAGAAUACAAGAAGAGGUUACUUUAUAUAAGAGAGCUACAAUAAUUAAUGGGGUCCUUCAGAGAUUAGAAAAGAUAGCCUAGAUAAAAGAGAAACUAUGUGAACUUUGUCGCGUCUUGGGUAAGCAAUAAUGCUUUGGCAGAGUUGUACAUAAUCAUGUGAAUAGGGUUGAAUAUCGUCAAAAGCAACUUUUGCACAAUUGUCCCCUAUAUUCCAUUUGACAAAGACCAUGUGAAUGCACCUAAGAGCAAAUUGUGCUUUUACCAUCUAUCUAGAUUCUUUUAAUUAUCAAGAUUUGAGAUAAAUCUCCUUCAUAGAUAUCAUCCAAGUUUAUUGUGGUUCUAGAAGUAGAAAGGGAAUAUGCUAGAGAAGAGUAAUUUUUCUCUGAGUUCUUCAUAUGAUAACCCUUUCACCUUUUCUUUU